UUAAGUUUUGUUUCCAGAGGCAUAAACUCCUUUCGCCUCAUAUGCGCUUCUUAAAAAAAAUCAAUAUAAUAACAAUUGAAUUGAGAUACGAAGAAGAAGUUGUGGUAGUUUGUGACAGUUUGAACAUUUGACUAAAAGAGGAAGUUGAAGACUCUUUGGUACCCUUUGCCUACUCUGUAUGCUGAAAGGUGUGCUCUUUCGGUUUUAUCUUUGCAGGGCAGCGAUUUCUUCUCCAAAGAUGGAUUUCCGAACGAGCCAUUCCCAAAUGGGUGGAAAGGGAAGUCAGGGCUCUACGCUGUUGGGUUCACAAGGAGAGGGCUCUCUGGUGCAUCCUUGGAUGCAGUGAGGAUAGCGGAGGACAUUGACAGAGUCUGGAAAGAGGAAACAAAUCAAGCAAAUAUCCGAUCGGGAAGAACGAAGGUUUUCCUCAAUCCACUCAACUCGAAUCUUUCAAAAGAAAAUUAGAAGUAGAAGAAUUGCAAAAUUAAAACUUAAGUCUUUUUUUCCUUUCAUUUAUGAUAAAAAAAUGAGAUAUAUAGCCUUUAUUUAUAAUGAUGGGGUCUACACUUAUAUAAUUUGUGUUGGAUUUCUUUUCUUAAUUUUUAUAGGACAUUCUUUUCUAAAAUAGAUAGCACCCAUAGAAAUAAAAUUGAUUUUCAUUUUUUAACCGAAAAGAAAAUUUUUAAUUUGAUUCGCCUGUUCUAAGCCCCAAGUAAUGGAAUUUAAGCUCGAUCACUAGGAGCAUCGCUCUAAAGGGUGGGUGUCACAUUGUAGAUCUCAAAAAACUGCCCGAUUUAAAAAAAUAUAUAUCUUAAUCGAAAUGACCAAAUUAUGGUUUCUAAAAAAAAUCAUCUUGAUAUUCUAUUUAUUUGUUCCCUAACGCAACCCCCCACCCACAAAAAAAAAAAGAAAAGAAAAGAAAAAAAAAAGAUAAAAAGGAAGGGAAGAGCCCUCUCUCAAUAGAAAAGUUGGUGAUGAAGAAGCUUGCUUAGAUUUUGAUAUUUUGUAUAGUAAUUCAGACAUUUAAUUCUAAUGGAAAAGGAGCCACUUUUGUUGGGAAAAUGAGCUUUCGUUCUUGUGUUUCCCUUUUCUUAUUAAUCUUAAUGAGGAAGAUUGAGGCCAUGACUCUGAUUUGCCAUGUCUCACUGGAAAGGGUUCAGAAUCUAUAGUAAUAAUGCUCGACAGAAGAAGUUGGAUCUGAAAGGAACAAUUAUUUCAUCUGAACUGGGUCUAUGGAAAUCUAUAAACAUACUGCGGUUAGUCUGAAUUAUUUCUGGAACAGGGACAAAUGUCCGGACCUGCUUGAGACAAAGAAAACCAGUGCAACUAUAAAAACUCAAACCACAUGCCAUGGCCUCGUAAAUAUCUGUAGCCUAAGAAUUUCAUAAGAUUAGCGUUGCAAACAAGAGCUUGUCCAUAGAGCUACUAAACCAAAUUGGAGAAUGAUUAAUUGGAAUGUUAAAUUUCCGGCCUGCUCUCUCUUCAUGAAUCAAGACAGCUUGAAUCUUUAUAGGAACUCUUUUUUCUUUUUUUUUUGAGUAACGGAGGAAGCAAAGAGCUUCCCCCUAAAUUUAUUGAAGAGAUAAAAAGUUACAAAGAUUUACAGUGAUGGUAAUUAGGAGAAAAAGAAACUAAAAUAAAGGUACAACAUCUGACUAAAGAUAUUUUCCUUAGGACAAUUCUUGAGUUUUUCUCACGCCAAAUUUGCCAGCAAAGAGCAAUGAUUAACUAAUUCCAUAUUCUUUUAAAAGCUGCAUAUUUUUUUUUCUUCCUCCAAGAAGUCCAUAAGUCAAUAAAAUGAGAUGGCCAUCCUUGAAUUUUUAGGUACAGCUUCACUACAAACCAAAUACCCCUUAAAAAGAGGCACUUAGUAAAUAGAUGGGAUAUAGUCUCUACAUUUGCUCCACAUAGAGGACAACCUGAACUUAUAGCCAUAUUUUCUUGCUAGAAUUUCUCUCGUAUGAAGUUUGUUUUUCAGUGCCAACCAUAGGAAAAUUUUACUCAGGUACCGGUUUUUUCCAAAUAACUUUGUAGAAAGAAGGGAGAACACCACCUGAAUUAAUGAAUCCGUAGAAGGAACGAACUGAGAAGAUACCAUUCUUUGUCAGCUUCCAUAAUGGUUCAUCUAAAUCUCUAGAUGGUCCGAUAUGAGAAAGAAGAUCCAACAGAAGCUCUAGUUGAUUGGAUUCAACUAAGGUGAGUGAACCUUGAAGUUUUAUAUUUCACUUGAAUGCGAACCGAUUCCAAUAAAAUGCCACAGCAGCAUUUCUUUUAGUGGCUUUAAUAUACAAAACUGCAAGGAGAGAAGCUAAUGUGAUGGACUGUACCGAAGGGUCUUCCAAAAAAUGAAUGUUAUUCUCAUUCUCUAGCUUAAAAGAUGUGCAGUUCCAAAAGGCACCAAGAUCUCAACUAAUGUCUUUCCAAAUAGGUGAGAGAAACUUUAAAGAUUUUUUAGUGUGCAUACCUGGCCUCCUUCUGGUGCGGUGUGCAUGCAAAAUCAUAUUUGACCAAGGAGAAUUCAGCCUUUUUAGCAACUUCCAUGCGCAUUUAGCCAACAAAGAUCGAUUCAUGGAAGCCAAGUUUUUGAUCCCAAACCUCCUCCUUUCUUGUCUCUGCAAACACACUCCCGGUGAAAUCCAGUAAUAGAGUCUUGUCCGCUUUACAAGAAGCUGCGCUUCAUUUUAUCAAUUCUAUUGUAUGCCCAUUUAGAUAAUUUGAAAACUGAUAUGAGGUUGGAGGGAAGAGCUGAUAGGACAGCAUUAAUCAAGGUGAGUCUUCCACCUAAGGAGAGAAAUUUACCUUUACAGGAUCUUGGUUUCAUUGUCAGGCCUUCAAAGAUUGCGGAUGUACCAUUAUGUGGUUCAAGGGCGAAAGCAGCAAAUCAUUUGUUCAUAUAAGGUGUCCCAGAAAUAAUUAUUCAAUAUUGUAACUUCUUAAUACGAAUGGAAGACCUUCUAGCAUCCAUGAUCUCUGGAAUUCAUGGAGGAGACAGUAGGUACAAGCGCCUUGGAGAAGAGUUUGGGAUGAGUUCAUACUCAAUUGGCAAAUCCGGAAGGAAAGAAAGGAAUGCGAGUAUCUUUCUUAAACGAAAAGCCUUCGCCAAUACAGGACUCCAAAAAAACUCUUCAAACCUUCCGCUAAUGAGAAAAUCUCUGCACUGCAAAAAUGAUAGAUAAUCAUAAAUAUGUUUGACGCAAUACCUUCCUAAACUCCUUACGUAAAAUUUACUCCUUCUUUUCUCCUUCCCAUAUAUGCAACACAUUGUUAAUCUUUUAAUAAAAUCGGGGAAAGUUUCUCACUGCCUCCGUUGCCACCCAAAAAAAAAAGGUUUUUUUUGUUUAUCUGUUUCGGUUAUAUGCAUGUGUAGUUGCAGCUUCUUUUUUUUUUCCUUCAAUCUGUUUUGGGUAUAUGUAUGUGUACUUUAGAGCCUCAGGCACUAUACUUACUAUUCCUUGCAGUAAAUCCAGCAGAGAUAUAAUACAAUUCAUCAAAAAUUUUAGAAGUCCAUGAAUGGAAUUGCUGAGAGGUCAUAUCCUGCUUCACUGGCUGGCUAGUAAUUGGCUGUUUUGUCCUCCGGGAUACAUGCUUGGGAAAAAGCAUCAUGACAGUCCUUUACAUGCCAAGAUAGCAGAAUCUAUUUCACGACUAAAGAUUCCAUAAAAAUGUAGUUGUACUCGUCUAGGAUCCUCUCCGAUGUCUGUCCCCAGUUGCAAAACUGGCUUGGCUCCAUGUAUCUUGAUUAGAAACCAGAACAUCGAGAUGAAUGGACAACUACAGAGGAUCGGUCGGUAGGAGAGGAACAUGAGAAUCAGACAGCAUCCUCUGCUUUCUGCGUUAACUCGUCACUUCUCACUAAGAAUGCUAAUACCAAGUCUGAUCACACCUCGAGAUCUACUGGCUAAGAAUGGCGACGAGCUCUCUUUCUUGCACCGAAAGAGAAUACUGAUCAUCGGUCCCCAUUUACAAUCACGAUCAACGAGGUGACGAUCAUUUUUGAGCAUUAAACAUCUAACUUAUCUUCUCUUCUGAAUUUUUGAUACUAGAAAACUUGCAGGCUAUUCAUUUUCAUCUAGAAGAGCCCUGAUCUUGCGUGUUUGGAAAAUAAACAAUAUCCGGAAUCAACGGGUACAAAGGCAACGAGCAUAGCUUUGUAAAGCAGUUCGACCCAUACUGAGAGGUCUACUUUAAUCAACUUCUCUAAGCUUCCAUAACUUAGAUCUAUUCAGUUGUCUCAAAAGAUGAUGCUACUUUAGUGCAACAUCCAUUUCCCUUGAGUCAUCGUAUCUCUGUCUUUUGUAUUUUCUAUAGAGAAUCCAUGGAUUCUGGGUCCACAAACCAUUUUCUCCACUUCCACAUGCUUCCAUAGAUCGUGACACGCACUACGGUCACUAUGUUUCCAGCAUCUCUUUUCCCCAAGAAAGCCACUUUACGGAUAAAUAUUAAGCAAAGUCAGUUUUCUCCGCCUCUCUCUCUCUCUCUCUCUCUCUCAGGAUGAUCAAUUUGGACAACUUUGUGCUACCUUAUCGGAUGACACCCUGUUGUUAGCCAUGGUUAGCAAGAUUGAGCUAAGACAGGUGAUUUUUUUUUCAUUGACUGCGAUCCUUCAUUGGAGGAUGUCAGGAGACAGAGAGAGAGAGUAAAAGGACUCCCACGCGAUUGCCAUUUGUUCAGCAAUUAGAUUUGUGAUGGUUGAGAAGCUAAGGAGGAGACUUAAUCGUCGCAUGCAUACAUACAUACAUAUAUACAUAUAUAUACAUAUAUACAUACAUACAUACAUACAUACAUACAUACAUACAUACAUACAUACAUACAUACAUACAUACAUACAUACAUACAUACAUAUAUAUUAUAAACUGUUUUCGCUGGUCUAGGGAAGUUUCUGCAGGUGCAAGUAAUUAUUUUAAAAGGAUACCAGUCCCAAGAAACAUAAGCAUCACCAUGUACCAGCCCUGCCACCCAAAUCAAAAUUUUCUACUUUCUUUCUUCUUCCAUUUUUGAGAUUAGACGGAUCUAAUCUUCACCUUUUCUAUUCUAUACCUAUCUCGUUUUUAGGGAAUUAAUUCUAACUGGAUAUCAUCUCCAUUCUUUUUUGCCCUUGCCCAAGUGGCAAAGAGUGACACCAUCUGAGCCAAGGAUGAACUUGCUCCUGCCACCCCAAUUCAAUUUCAAGGAGGACAAUUUACCACCUUUUUUUAUUUUAAAAUUUAGACUUAAUAUUUGUUUUGAACGAAAAAAGAGAAGAAGAAAGAAAGCUGAACCAUCAAAAUGACUUAUUUGGGAUUUAGAGUAGGAUUGCAUUCUGUUUUCAAAAUAGAGACGGUGUGCCAGGGAAAACUUUCUUCACCAUUCAUUUCUUUUUAGUGCCCAUUCUCUUUUUAUUUUAUUUUUUUGGCCGCUUUUUUUUUCUAGGUUGGAGAGGCAUAAUUCAUUUCACAGAACAAUUGCUAACAUUUUGAAGAAUAAUUACUAACAACUUUGAUGCAUUUUGCAUUAGCCCUCUUCUCCUUUCUUAUUCAUCUAUCAUAUUCUAACACCUUUUCUUGCGAAAGCAUGUGAAGUCUUUCUAGCGCAUGCCCACAUAAACUUCUAAUUAAUUAAUUUUUCAUCAUGCUAUAACAAAUAAAUAGCAGUUCCUACAUCUCUAGUGUAACUAUAUUUUCUCCAUUAUUUUUAGUUUUUAUUACAAAUCCACCUCUACAUUCUUACUCGUCGAACGCGGAUCACUUCGUUCAGUUAAUUUCGUGAAUAAUAUAAAAAAAUUCCUUUCUUAUUAUCCAACAUGUUACAUGCAGCAAUAUCAUCCUAUUAUUUUUUUUCCAUAUGAUAAUAUUUACGAUAAGAUAAAAAUUUCGCAAACACAUCAACAAACAUUAGCUGUUUGUCUUCUAGAAAAACAAACAAACAAACAAAUAAAUAGUCAUCAUCCCCGAUACUAGGGUUUCACCUUCCAUUAUGCAUGGUUAAGCUCUAAUAAAACGGUUAGCAACUAGGAACCAAAAAAAGUGGUAGAAUUAUGGGAGGAAGCGGUAGCCUAUGUGGGUCCGUUGGGGCUUGGCAAAAUGACGCCAAUUGUUUUAUUAUUAUUUUUUGGCUAAUCGACAAACUUAAAUAUUUUCGACGGAAAUUAACCAGACCCAAGUGGGUUUAGUGGUUGACAGCUGAUCGGCCCCCGGCCACUUUAUUAGCUCCAGUUCGGAACCGAACGGCAAAGCCGCGCCUCCUUACCGACCCUCUCCAUCAACGGCGGCCGGAGUAACUUGAGAUCCGCCGGCAAUUUUUUCGACCGCUCCCUGGGGUUAGGGUUGGGAUUGUGUUUAGGGUUGGGGUUGGGGUUUUUCUUGUGGGGAAGAUAGUCGUCGUCUCGAUCGAUGGAGGGCCAGCAGGCGAGGAAGAUGAGGAUCUCGUUCAAGAACGCCACCAUCGUCGUCUGCUUCAUUAAUCUAAUCGCCGCCCUCCUUCUUCUCCAAGGCUUCGUCGGCGUCUCCAACCGGAGAAGCGCCGGAGCCCGUCAGUUCGACGCCGGUAGGUAUCCGUGGCUUCUCUUCUCUUACUUUCGUUUUGAUAGAUUAUUUACUCAUUUGUUCGAUAGGUAGAGGAAUUUCUUUGUUUCUUUUUUAUUGGAUUCCGUUGUGGAACCAUGAUUUUGACCAAUGUCGGAUAAUUAAAUUUCUUUGAGCGUUGAAAAAUGGUAAGAAAUCAACAUAAAUAUGGUUCUUUGGUGUAAUAUAAGAUUAUCCUGUGAAAAUUUGCUUCUGAGAACCAUUUAGUUCUGAUUUUCUGCGUUUUCUUUGAGGUGUAAUGAUGGAGGGGUAACGAACUACUCCCACCAUUUAUUGAAAAAAGAAGAGGAGGUUAAAAAAGAAAAGCAUAAAUUGGCAAGAACACUACUAAAACACAAAUUAAGCUCCUUGUGUCCAUUGAUCUCUUUAGAGCUACAGAGGCUCCCAGACUCCCAGUCCUCAAAGAGAAGAACGGCAGCAAAAAGAACGGUGGUGUUGGACUUCUUUUUGGCAAGAAAGACUCGAUUUUUCCUUUCUCUCUGCAUCUGCCAGCAGAUAGCUAAUUCAAGCUGAUCACAAGCUUUCCGAAGUUUCAGUAGUUUCCUAAUUUUUCCUUUCUAUUAAGUCUUUUCUUUCUUUCUCUCUCUCUCUUUUUUAUACGCUUGCCAAGGGAAUAUUUUAAUCUUUUCCAGCGCUGCCUCAUUUUAAAGGGCUUUAGAGUAACGACAUAACAAUCCACCUUGAUAAGGAACUUGUAGAAGGAUGAUAGUGAAUAGACUUUGUUUGGCGUAAGCUUCCACAAAGGUCUAUCUGCUGCCCUUGAAAGCCUGGUGUUCAUCAGCUUGUUUGGCAUGAGCUUCCACAAAGGUCUAUCUGCUGCCCUAGAAAGCCCGGUAUACCUCAGCAAAACCUGGAGUUGAUCUAGAUCUUUAUCUGCUACCUGGUUCAGUGUGUAAUGAAGUCUAGAUUCCACUUUAUCUCCCUCCAUUUCCAACACGAGGCCACUUUUAGAUUCACCCUGUGUGUGUGGCAUAUAGGGAAGUAAGAAUUAAGAGGCAUGUCCCCAAGCUGUUGAUCCUGCUAAGAAUCUAACAUUCUCUCCAUUGCCUGUUCUAAAAACUAGGCAAUUCCUAAAAGCUUGCAAGCUCUUGUAAUGUUCUUCCAUAUAGACAACAAACCUUGGGAACCUUGACAUGCCCUAGUUCCUAACUUCCUUCUGAGCAAUAAGCAGACCGAAUUAACCUCCAUCUUGCAUGAGCUUUAUAGUAGUUCCAAGCCCACUCUGUCAGCCACACAAUAUUCCAAUCUGACAGACAACAAAUUUUUCGUUAAAUGUGGAACAAGCAGUACAUUGUGAAGAGGUAAACUAGUAGUUUCUUGUUUUAUGCAAGUAUCACCAAUACCAAGAAUUUGCAAAGAAGAGACAUCUCCAAUAAGAACCGAGUCAGAGCCCAAGUAAUUGCGGAUAUUGGUUAACAUACCUGGCUUACCUGUCAUGUGGUUAGAUGCACCGGUGUCUGAUGUCCACUCGGUAUCUGAAAUAGUGUUGUCCAAGGUAAGAGCUGCGAGGGCUUGAGGGAUCUCUUCACGUUGAGUGGGCUUCUUGGGCAACCACCAGCAAAUCUUUGCAAUAUGACCCAUUGUCCCACAGUACUGGCACCGUUCUUCGCGAUAUAGAUUUCUUUCGACAGAGGUCAUGCGACGUUCACCAAGUGGCGGAGGACGUUGUUGCUUAGUGUUGGGAGUAGAGUUACCUAAGAGGUCUCUGUUGCGGUCUCUAGGUUGUUGUGCCUGGAAUCCACGUCCAGUGGACGUGAAUUGUUGUGAGUUUCCUCGAUAUCCUGAGGAAUAUUGUUGCUGGGAACGCUGUUGUUGGCCAUAGAACGCCAUUUGAGGAGAAAAUUGCCGAGCUGUGAUAUCUGUGUUACUAGAAAACCAGCUGCAUCAUUGAUCCAAACUUUGCAGUUGUGAUACCAGUUCAGAAUAUGAUGGUCUUGGUGGCUUUAGCAUGGUAGUUGUGAAGGUCUCAUAUUGAGGACCAAGACUAGUAAGAAGGCAGAAAACCUUUUCUUUGUCAGAAACAGGUUUUCCAAUGGCUGCGAGACUAUCACAUAAGCCUUUGAAGAUGCGAAUGUGUUCUCCAAUGGUUUUAUCAUCUUCUUGUCGCAAGUACGUCACUUGUUGGCGUAGUGUAAAUUCGCACUCUUGUGAAUCUUGGGCAUAUGCAUUUUUGAGAGCUUCCCAUACAGAGUGGGCUGUAUCUAGCCCAACAACGAGUCCGAGAGCUUUUUCUGAGAGUGUCCCGAUGACCACCCACGAAGAAGACGAUCAGACUUUCGCCAAGCGAUGAAUGCAUCUGUCAGUGUUGGUGUCUGGGUUUCUGCAUUUGUGUUGGUGUUUGGAUUUGGAGUGGUAUAUUUGGUGGGUGCUGGAUCUUCAUUAGUAAGAUGACCAACCAGUUCUUGGCUUUCUGCUAGAGCCAAGGCUUGUUCACGCCACAAGGGAUAAUUGGCUAGGGUGAGCCUGAGGGUAAUGAAAUUGCCAACAUUAAGAGAAAGAGUGGUCAUGGUGGAAGAGCUGUGAUGUGCAGAGUGCUCACAAUGGCUCUGAUACCAAGAAGAAAAUAUGGAACUGGAUAAGGAAACUGCUUUAUUUCUCUUCUAGUUGUUCUUUCCAACGUGAGCAAAAUGCAAUACAAGAGUAUCUCUUUAAAUAAAGCAAUGCGUAACAAAUAUAACAAAUUGACAAAAUAUCUGCAGAAGUUGUGCUCUUUCUAUCUUUGAGUAAUCCCUUUGAAUUUCUUGCUAUCUUUGACUGAUAUGGUUAGGAAGCACGUGGACUUGAAGUUGGUUUGGUGCAUUCCUCCAAAGAUGGCUGGAUUGGUUUGGAUCCGAUAUUCUUGACUGAUUUGCUGUUAUUCCAUGCGAUAUUUCCACAUCUUGUUGGAUUGUCUUUUGGUUUGAAUUUGCUGACCUUGGGUCUUCUUUAUCACUCAAAUUCUCUCCACUGAUAACAGAAAUAUUGUGAGGAUAUGCAACCUUAUCACUCCAAGAUUUUGGGAUUUCCUUAUCACUCCUUUGACCCUCACAAUAAUGGCUGUUACCGAGUUGUGAUGAGCUAAUAUUGCAUACAACAUCCCAGCUUGCCAAGCAUUUGAAGCCACUAAUCGUAUCUUUCCUUUUCCAAAAGAAUGCCUGUCUCCAUUGAUCAAUCCUUCUGCAAACUUGUGUAGGCACUCUAUAGAUGGACAUAUAAUGACUUUCGUUAUUUCAAAUGCAGAAAAUUAACUUUUUUGAAAAAAUUUAUAUGGUUAGGCAUUCGUUUAGGAAAUGGUAAUGAGGACUGCUAGCUACAUAUAUUUAGUUACUAUAGGUACCAUUUGCUUGAGCACUGUGUCAGGUAUAUAGUAAUUCCACGAAUAUAUUUUAAAGAUUAUGAGCUAUGUUAUAAACUUGAUUAAGUUUGAGGCAGUGCUGAAGAUUGACUGGAGUGGAGUAGUGUCAGCUAUCCAGAUUUAACUUGAGCUGGCUUAUACUAAGAUAAUAUUAGUGGGUAUGGAGGUCUUUGAGCUUGUUAUGAACACAAUAAGUAUUUGACUUGGGCAUGAAAAAUGGGUAUGUCCUUGCAUGCUUAAAAGAUGUCUGUAGCGUCUGUGUUUGCAUGUGUGUGUGUGUGUGUGUGAGAGAGAGAGAGAGAGAGAAUGAAUGUGGAAAAGGAAAUAGAAGAUAGCUUCCUCAUUCACAAGAAGAGGAUAUGAAGAAGGCGAUAGUUCUAUCACAGGAAGAGUCCUAAGAGUUUCAGUUUGGAUCAAAUAUGAAGAAAUCUAAGGUGUAGACAUCAGUAAAAGGGAAUAUGAAAGGUAAGAUUUAUUCAAAUGUUGAAGAGGAUAUGAAGAAGGCGGCGAUAGUUCUAUCGCAAGAAGAGUUGAGAGCUUCAAUUUGGACCAAAAUAUGAUUUUUAUGAAAAAUUUCUUUUAGUUUAGCAGACAGCAAUCAUUGUGCAAUGAGUUUAAUAAUUUUCUCGUGUACUAAUCGAAACUUCAUCAUUUAUUGUUGCAGCACAACUUAGAUACAUCUUGGAGUCUGAAGAGAUACGUCGUGCUAUGGAACCUGUGGAAUUAAUUAAGAGAGUAAGUAUGGAAUUGGUUUCAUGAAGGUUCCUUUCCUUGGUAUUGGACAUCACUAAACUGGAACCUUCUUCUUCACAUCUGAUUUAGAUUAAAGAAAUUGAGCAAGAAGCAUUCAACGAAUCAGCGACUGAGAUACAGCAAGUACCAAAGCAGACUGCUGCAGUUGGUCUGUCGAAGAGGUUGAAAGAUCUCAGAGCAAUGAAUGAUGCCAACAGCCAGAAAGGUGAUUAUCUGAGUUUCCUUGACUGAUUUUCGACAGCCAUUAUUGGCCUUGCUUCCUAAGAUGUUUUAUAAGCAACAUUCCUUCAUAUAGGACAAUUCUAAUUAUUUCUUAUUUUAACUGCUGGCCUGUGAAGCUUAUAUGUAUACUUCACUAAGAGGAAAAAGUGAUUCCUUUUGAUUCCAACAGCUUCUGAGAAUAUUUUGAUGUGCUGGAAUUCUGAACAUUUUUUAUAUCAAUGGAAAAAGUGUGUAAAUACUCCCAUCAGCAAAGCAUAUGUAAUGCUUUGCAUGUAAAUUGGUCUACAUUACUUAUCUUACAAAUACAUGUGGUUAAAUUACUAGGUUUUCAUUCACAUGCCAAGUGAGUUAUAUUUUACCAUAAAGCAUUUCUCUUGAACCUUCAGAAUUUACAUAUAUCUGCUAGGUAGAAUGCUGGUAGGAUCCAAACUUUACUCAAAGCAAAAAAAACAAAAAAAAAAAAAUCUAGGGCAAAACUGGACCAGAUAUUCUGUUCAAACUUCAAAACAAAUAUGAGUUACAGGUAAUUUUGAUAAUGAUCAAUCUCGAAGUAUGAUCCAAGAAAAAAGGAAUUACAUUAUCAGCCAAUCCAUCCCACUUCACAUAUUUUUUUCAAAAGAGUAAUAUUAUUCUUUAAUUUUUAGGCAGAUAUGGAUGUCUGUUCCAUCAAUGAGUCUGAUGACCAACAUUCAAUGCACCCAGCAAGCAGGUUAAAUGUCUUCUUAACUCAAUGAAAGAAGUACAUGUGUGUGUGUGUGUGAUCUUGCUCUUCUUUGCAGAUCAGCAAACUAUAUAUGUAUAUCUGUACAAAUAGUAGCAUUAUAUUAUCUGAUGUUUGUAAUCAGAUAAUAUAUUAACCGGUAAAAUUUGAAUGUCUCUUCUGUUCAUCAAUACAAUGUUGUCCUCAAGCCUUUUGUUUUAUGCUUAUUGUAUGAUCUAUCAUGCAGUUUCAGCAAAUUCUGAUGAUUUGAAUUGUUAAUUCAAUUCCUGAUUGGAUACUUCUUCUGUUUUUUUUAAAUUGCCGUGGUGACAUCUUGUUAUUGCCAGAUUUUGUGUGGAAGAUUUUGUGUUUCCACGGAAAUUAAUCUAUCUUGGUGCCAUAUAAUUGGUUUGGAGCAGAUCUUUGUUAAUACCGGCUUCUAAUGUUCUGUGAAUGUAAUCAAUGUACAUACUCUUUUCAUAGCUAUUUGCAACUGCUUAACAUAUUUUGUGGCUUCAGCUCUUGAAGAAUGGCGUAAACGGAAGAUGGAGCGUGCUAGACAACGGGAAAUUGAGAAAAAUGGAACAGUUACAUCUCAGGUUUGAGGUUGCAUGGCGUAAUCAGAAGAUAGAGCCUGCUAGACAACGGGAAAUUGAGAAAAACGGAGACAGUUACAUCUUAGGUUUGAGGUGCAUUUGCCAUCGUAAAGUUGAUGGCUAAAUUAUGUAACUAUGGUGCAUCCAAGCUGCUGUUGCAAAGGUAUUACUCGGUUUUGUCAUGUCUGGUCUUGUUCUCUCACAGUUGUUGGAUGACUGAUGUUUCAAUGGAAAACUGUUGUUGUUACUUGUAUGUUCAUGGCUUGUAUCCAGAACAGGUCGGUUUAUUUUUGAGAACAUCAGGCAACUACUUUACCUCCUGUAUCAAUCUUGUUGUGUAUCAUGCUUGUCAGAAUUAUCAGAAUCUUAAAAGUAAUGUUUGAGAAGAUUUCAGCGAUGUUCCUUAGCCUCGAAGGUGUGUUUUGUGGCGGCAAGAAUAGAUGGAAGACGGACAAACCCUCGUGACAAUUUCUCAGAAAGAAAUUUCAGGGAAACCAUACAAGGCAUGAACAUUCAAGUACAUCGGCCACAGCAAUUUGCUAAUUAUUUUCCUCGAGGUCUCACUAGAGGGGUACAAAACCACCCAUGAAGAUUAAAGAGCUCAGCCAGAAGAGCAUGAAUAUUGUGGAGCUUAAUGUUUGAUUUGACCGAAGGAGGCUUUAUUGUACUGGAAAUCAGUUAUUUCUUUUUUUCCCAGGCAUUUCUGUUCGAAAAUUCAUUCUGCAUACAACUCGAAUGUUCUUUGACGUGAACAAAAUGGCACCCGCAUGGUGCAUAAUAUGAAUGAAAUCAGCUGCGAAUAAGAGGCCCAAAAGGAGAUUUAUCCACAUCAGCAAUUAACAAGCCCAUUUUGCAUAGAUACAAAAAAAUUGAAACCACAAUUAUUCCACCGCACGCAUCAUGUACAACAGGGUCAAACCUUCCAUAUUCUCUGCGGUUGCAUAUACAGAGCCUUACAGAGAUGGAGAUACCGAAAGUACAAAACAUCACAAAGAUAUCUGAAGCUACAUACAGUUGGCAUAGCAUACAUAUUAACAAUGUAGAUAGCAACCGUGCUUUCAGUUUGAACUCUAAAUUAGAGUCCAAGGAUCUGCAACUGUCUUCAACUCCAGAACAGCAUAUGCCAGGCAACGAUGGAUAAUCAGAUACUAACUGAAUUUAGCUGCGUACAAAAAGAACCUUGGAAAAAAAAAAUCCGUGCAUAAGUUGAGGCAUGAUCAAGCACCCACACAAUUUUCCCAAGCACCAUAUCUCGAGCUGAAGCUCCCUCCUCCAGUCUGUUGGGCAUAUUCGGCAAUAACUUUGCGUGCACAAGCAUCCCAAGUCCUUGCCAUUUCUCCUAGAGACAUGGGCUGUGAUAAGCCACGGAGGGAUAUGCUGAAUCUUGACUUUGCCUUGACAGACAGAUCAUCAGACUCUCCACUGCAAGUCCGAUCAUAAUAGAGCUACAGGUCAGUUUAACCUUCUUUCAAAUGAAACUGAUUGCUUCGACCAAUAAGCAUAUAAAUGCAACUAUUACUUCCCACCUUGAUUCAUCCGGAAGCUUGUCCAAAAGAACAGGGGAACACUUUGGAUAGUUUGCAGGAACAAGCAACCUCAAAGGCAAAAUUGGGCUCUGCACAAAGCAAAAUAAUUUAUAAUAGAUGAUAUAUGUUAGCAACAAAUAAAUAGCUCUAUCUCUUGUCCAUUGAAGCUUACUAUCUGUGACGAAGCAAAUUGUGACUUCAAACUUGGACUGAGAGCCACUGCAGUGAAAGAACAUUUGAUGACCGUUCCUUCACCAUCAGAUGCUGCAGCAAUUGAAUCAGCAUCCUCUUCACUUAUGUUGACUACUGUAUCAAUUAGCUGCUGAUUUAUCUCCCUAAUCUCUUCCAGUAGAGCAUGGUUCACCUGCAGUCAGAUGUAUCAAUUCAAUAAUGUCUAGAUGUUUCACUGACCAGUUCCCAGGGUGGUUAAAUUAAAGCAUUAUAUACUAAUUGCAUAAUUCCAUUCAGUGCUGUGGACUGAUUUAGUUCAUGAUAUUGUCAGAAACAUCUCCAAAUUCCCUUUUAACUACUAAAAGUUUCAACCUCUCAAAAUCGUUCUUGUCCAAUUAUAUUGUUAUUCUAUAAUAUCAAUUAUAAAAUGGAGAGACAUCACACCUCCAAUCAACAUUAAUAACAGAACUCAUGACAUACAAAAUUACAAGUUAGCACUUAAAUGCUGAUACCUAUGACUGCUGGUGGAGCCACUUGAGUGAGCAAAUUCUGUGCGCCAUCAUGAGUUCAGCCUUUGGGAACAAUUCAAUUAGAGGCAAAAAUCCAAAACUUGGCAAAAAUGUAGCAAACCCAUGAAAAGUUUUAAAAGAAUUUGGAUAACUAAAAGCAGAAAAAUACUUUUAUAUUUAUUCAUGUGAAAACAAGCAUGGGAAAGACAAGAAUAAUAAAUAUUAGCACAUACCACCAUCACUAUUAUCAGAAAAAAAUAAAAAUCACCAGCAGCAUAUAACAUCAUCGAGAUGUAAUCCAUAAAUGCUCCUAAUCUGAGCUCAAAACAAAUAGCAUUAAGGCCCCACUUGGGAUCACUUUUGAAGGGGCCAAAAGCACUUUCUGGAGCCCAAAAAGUACUUCUAAGAGAUAUAUGGGUAUUUGGUAAACAAUCUGAAACAACUUUCUGAUCCACCUAGAAACCGGAAAACCUCUGACUUGGCAAAAGCUUCAAUUUAAAGCUUCUCCCCAAAAGGAUUGUUUGAAGCCAGCUGGCAAGCUGUUUGUGUGACCAAAAUACCCCCAAAAGUUGUAGUUAUUACAUUGUUUAUUUAAUAUUUAGAUUAGAAUAAAAUAUAUAAAUUUUAGAUUAGCAAUACUUUUCACUAACUUAUAUUAAAACUAAAAUAGUAUUAUAAUACAAUACUACUAUAAUAUUACACUAAAAUAAUAAUAUCACAUUCACAUACUAUAAUAGAAUUAUACCGAGUAAAAAUAUAUUAAUAUGUAAUAAAAAAUUCUAAUACUUUAUAUCAAAAUAUUGUAUUAUAAUUAUUAAUUAAUAAUAGAUACAUUAUAAUAUAUUACUAUAAUGAUAUAAUAAUAUUAUAUUGCUACAAUAUAUUAUUAUAUUAUAUUACUUUAUUUUUUAUUUUAUCAUAAUAUACUAUAUUAUACAUUAUUUAUUGUAUCAUAAUAAUCAUAUUUUAAUAGUAUAAUAUUAUUUUAUUCCAAUAAUAUUAUACUAUUAUAUAACAAUAUUAUUCUAUUCUAAUAUUAUACUAUUCAAAGCAGAGUCCGCCUUCUCGGUAUCGAACCCUGUACCGGCACGAUCCUAUUACAAUGUUGAUAUGUAGUACGAUAUGAGACAGCGAGACGUACUAAGUGCCGAUAUGGUACGAGAUUGCAAUACUAGUUCGAUGCCGAUAUGGUACGAUACAUGCAGUACAAUACGUUUGGUAUGGUACGGUAUCGACCGGUGGCAAACCUUGAUUCAAAAUAAGUAAUUUAUAAAUUAAGAAUACUUUAUAAUAGUAGUUCAUGAUAGUACGAAGAAAAACAAAAUGAAAGUACUAUACAAUAUUAUUUAUUAUCAUUUUCUCAUACUAAAAGUACUUCCUCAGUUUGGUUACCAAAAUAUUGAAGUUCCACAAUAUUUUAGAAACUUAAUUACCAAAUCUCUCAAUGUGAAGUAAAGGUAACACUAAUAAUCCACAAUAAGUACAUUACCUAUGAUUUUUAGAUAGUUUAAAUGAUAAAAUAGCCAUAUCGGCUUCUUGCAGUAUAUCCAUAUCCAUAUGCAUGCAUGUCACACAAGCACACACGCACAUGUAAUUAUAUGAGUGCCAUUAUAAUACACGGUCGUGUAACUGGAGUAUUUUACACCUUGUAUAAGUUCCAAUGGUCCAAGUAGCAAGAUGAAAAUCUAAAUUGUUGCAUGUAGUCUACAAGGUCUAAAAUGUGUCAACACAUGUGCGUGCAUUUAUAUAUAUACAUUCAUAUAGACACACCUCUCUCUCUAUAUAUAUAUAUGUAUAUAUGUACAUGUAUAUAAUAUAUAUAUGUGUGUGUGUGUGUGUGUGUGUGUAUGUCUAUUUAUCUAGACAUAUACACAUGCACAUGUAUAUACACACAUAUAAGAUACUUACGAGGUACAAAAUUAUUUAUUUUGGAUCUCUCUUGCCUAUGUAUCAAGUGACAAAAAAAAAGGAACGGUAGCAAUAUACCCUAGGAAGCACGGAUACUUCAAAACACAUGUCAUGGUAUAUCGUAUCCAUAUUGAAUAUCAAUACUCAUCAAAUACUUCUCGGAUGUGUCCAAGACUUCUAUCAAGUAUCCUAUUUUGUAAAAUUAAAAAAAAGCAUUGUAGUGACUUCCUGGAUAUGUUUUUAGAUACUUCCAAAAUACCUCUAAAAAUGAAGGGGAAGGUCAAUUUCGUAGUCUAUUGUUAUUAACAUUAAAAUAUAAAAUAUGGAUAAUGGUCUAUGGAAUGAUCUAUCAAGUAUGAACUAUGUUAUUUUGAUAGUGUACUAUGCUUUAUGUAUGUAUGUAUGUAUGUAUAUGUAUAUUAUACAUAUACAUAUAGAUGCAUACAUAAAUAUACAUGUAUGCAUACNNNNNNNNNNNNNNNNNNNNNNNNNNNNNNNNNNNNNNNNNNNNNNNNNNNNNNNNNNNNNNNNNNNNNNNNAUAAUCAGACUGGCUUGUAGCUGCAGUAUAUAUCUUCUCUUCAAAUCGAACAGCAAUUUUCUGAAGUUCAUUUAAGCCUUCCGGCACAGAAAUAGGCAAAUGUCUCUUUAAAGUGUCCAUUAUCUUAUUGACGAUCCUCUGCCGAGCAUCGUGCUGCAGCUGGCCCCGCCAGUCGCCGGCCGUGGCGUCAGCGGCGGAGGGCUCCCCCUGGCCAGGCCUCCAGCUGUUCCCCUCCAUCGGCGGCGAUCGAAAACCUAAAAGGGCCAACAGAAAAUAAACACCCGGAGACCUCAGCGGCGGCGGCGGAGAGAGAGGAUGAGACAACCCAUCGGCGGCUAAUAUCGGCGGAUCGACUAAAGACAGAGAGGGUGCAAGAGAGAAGGGGAGAGGGCCUGAAAGGGGAAGAGGGUAGAGCGUUGAAAACUGAGAAGAUUCCCUUUUUCUGGAAGAAAAUAUAUAUAUAUAUAUAUAUAUAUAUAUAUAUAUAUAUAUAUGUAUGUAUGUAUGUAUGUAUGUAUGUAUAUGUAUAGAUAUAAUAUAUACCAAAAUACGUAUAUUUAUAUGUAUACACAGAAAUUCAUAUAAACAUAUAUUUACACAUAAAUGCACACAUAUACAUACACAGAUACAUAUAUAUUAUUUGAUGUAUCCUAGCAAAUAACCUAGUUUUUCAAGAUUUACCGUAUCAGCAUUAUCCGUUGUAUCUGCAUCUCGUGUCCAUGUCUGUGUCCAUGCUUCAUAGAAUAUAGCAACUGAGCAAAAGCAAGGCAUAAACUAUAUAAUUUGCAAUUCCAAGCGGUUGAUUUUGAUCUAAAUAUGUUAAAUUUAUGCAGAUUAAAUUUAAGCUAAUUUGGUUGUUUUCAAGCUAUGUAUAAAACUAAAACAUGAUAUCAUACCACUGAAACUGUCACUUUUGUUUUUAUUUGAUGCACGAGUAAAGACCUAAUAAAUCCAUGAUUUUUGGUUUCUAGGCAAUUUAAAUAUCAUAGAUCAUGAUCCAUGGACCUGAUUUCCAUUUUAAGACGCCCUUCAUUGAUUUUGAUUAGAAAGCAUAUGUAUAUAUGUAUAUCAUUUGGAAGCCUAUUGCUUAUGCAUCAAGGCCUCCCAAAUAUAUAUAGUAUCAGUGAAAUGAUAUAUAGUAUGCUGAUUUCGACCAACUUAAUAAAUGGGCUGAGGACCUCCAAAGCUUACAACUUUUUGUGCAUGACUAUUUUAAAUAUUUUAAGACAUACCCAAUGGUUUAGAUUUUCUACAGUCAGCAUAAAGUAAUCUUUGUACGCCUAGUGUGUAUUAUAACUUGUUGAUAAAAUAUUUGAUGGUUCAAAAACUAAACAUGGGUCAUCCAAAACAAAAUAUAUCUUAGUGGUAUCUUACCUAUGCAAGCGAAAACAGAGUACUAGUUGUGCUAGUGUGCCAAAAUACAUAACAAGGCAAAUAAAUUGACAAUCCAAAACAUAGAUCGUGAUCUGAUCUUAAAACACAUAUAUUUGGAAUUCACUAGGAUUUGAUGCUUAGAUCCUAACAAAAUAUCUUUAUCACACCAAAAAACUCUCUUUCUGCACGCAAUUGAUGUAAAGGUUAGAAACCUACAAGAUACAUGGCUUCAUUAUUAGGUAUUUUAAUGGAAUAGAUCAUGAUCAUUGGAUCUGAUCUGGACACCCUACCAUUGGUUUUCUAAAUUGAACCUUUUACCAAAUAUUUAAAAUGUAAUGGAUAAUCCAAUUAAUAUUACACAAAGACAGAUUACUAUUGUAUGAUCAACAGUGAUUCAGUUCUACUUAGAUUGUUUAAGUGACGAGUGGACCUCAUCAUGCUCGAGAAGCAUUAUGCCAAAAGUAUGUGAUACCAGACUUUAAACUACAAAGUAUGAGAAUUUUGUAGAUAAGUACAAGCUUCUUCUGGUAUAGAACUGAAAGAGAAGUUCAUUGCCAGACCUUAAAAUUGCAAAGUAUCUUCAAAGCCACAUUAAAGAAAACAAAUAUAUCAACAACUCAAUAAAACAAGCUGAAUAAUUGUUAUACACACGAAAAUAAGCUGGAUAAUAUUUACCUCAAAUUUCUGCCUCUUGACACGAGAUGUUGCAGUUGACUCCAACUCAGAUGCAUCAAGACCAUAAGAUUGCUUGAAGCUAUCAUUUACACUGCCAGCUGAUGACACAUUAUUCAAGGGCAUGGCACUUGUGUUACGCUUCAUUUUCUUUGUUGUAGCACUUCCAUCUUGUGACAUGAAGUUUCUAGCUUGCAGACGGCACUUUGUCAUGGCAACUAAAUCUUCACCAACAGCAGCCCUAGAACCAUUGCCAGGUGCUGAACCUGCUAUCCUGUCGAUCAUGCUGACAACAGAUUCAAUAUCGCUAACAGCAGAGCUGAGAGCCUUUGGAGUUGAUGACUUUACCUGAGAGAAUUCCACAAGUUUUAGGGUAUUGGAGAACCUCCAAGUCUAGAACAUUACUCUGUAUCAUGGCCCACUACCAAAAAUUUAAAUGAAUAUAUGGUAAAUUAUGUUUAAUAAGAUCAGAUGUAACAGAAUCUCUGGAUCAGGAGUACAGAAAACAAAAAAGGGGGAAAAAACUGUGCUAUGUUCAUUUAUCUACCAUUGAUCAAAGAAACACAAGAUCGAUUCAAGAUUGAUGAAUGGAUUUCCUAAUAUUUGCACCGAAAAUAUUAAUCCGACUAAACUUAUAUGUGUGGCUCAAUUUCUGUCAUGACCUAACCUAUCAAUUGACAAUAUUGGAUUGUGCAAUUAUAUUCAUGUUCUUCAAAUAGAACUUUUAACAGUAAAAAAUUGUUGAAAUAUCAACAAAAUUACAUUAUAGUCCUGCUAGAGACACAUGUAACAACUUGCAAGUUUAUGUAAAUUUCGAAAAAUAAAAAAGAUAAGAAUCUAAUAUCGAAUUGAUUAAUUUGAUAUAAUAACAUCAAAAGAGAGUUAAACUGGUAGAUGUAUACUGAUAAUGCAACAACUUGGUUGAGUAGCAUAGAAGUCCAAACUCUACCUUAGUUUCAAUGAGGUACAAGGAAGUGACCACAAAUUCUAUGAUGAACUCAUAUCUUUAAAAAUUGUAUGAUUUCAUAUUAUUUCUUCAAUAUUUUCAGCAUAUAAGAUAAACAUGUCAAUUUCUGUAAGGUCCAAUUUUUUAUUGAACAGACAGCUUCAAAAGAUGUAAGGAUAAAGGUCAGAAAAACAAGGCUUCUUUGACAAAGCAAGACCCAGCUUUUAUAUUGUGUUCAAAAUAUCUAGAUCAAUAACAACUACAUAAGGAAUUUUAGCUAAUCAGGGCAUUGCAAUAUGAGAUUUAACAGUUGACCCCUUCAUGAGGAAGGAGAUCUAAUUAUGCUUGAAUGGGAUGACUAACCACUUUAAUUAAACGCUCUAGAGGCCGUUCUGAUGCACUUGUCUUGCCAGGAACCACACUUGGUACAGUAGCCUGAUUUCCAUCUGGACUGGUAUAUUCUGCUAGGAAGGGCGAGGCUGAUAUUCCAGGUGUGCCAACAGCCAGUGAUUGUGUUUGAGGUGGUGCAAGAGCUGAUUGCUGAUGUCCAACAUGUGCAGCAUUAGUCACCGAUGAUAGACCAGAAAGCUUCUCAGAAUCCGCUGGUAUAGGAGAUGGGGCCAAGGGAGUGGAUGGAGACGGAACAAAUGGUGAGUUAGCUGAUUGCAGAGGUGUUCCAGCUUUUACCUGAGAUGCUAACAAAUUGUGCUGAUCGACUUGAGGAGAAGAAUGGUGUGAAAUUUGAGGAGAUGAGGAUUGAAGGUUUUGUGGCGAAGAAAUUGGAAAGGAAGCACCUUGCUUCAGUUGAUGAUAAUACCCAGGGCGUUGGCCAGCAGAGAAAUGUUGUUGAUAAAGACCAGGUUUGAUGCCUAAACCUGGUCUCACCUUUGACUCAUUUGGUUCAUUUGUUUGGUGAAGCUGUGGCAUUUGGUGUGCCAAAAUCUGUGCUGGUUGUUGUUUCUGUUGUUGGUGCAGCUGUUGCUGAAGUGAUGGCUGCGACUGCAUUAAUUGCUGCUUUUGCUGUUGCUGAAGCAUUUGUUGCACAUGUCGCUGUUGUAAUUGCUGCUUCAUUUGCUGACUUUGCAUCAAUUGCUGUUGUUGAUCCUGCUGUUGUUGCUUCAAAUAGUGCUGCUGUACUGUGUUAGAACUUGGUUGCACAAGACUAGCAUUAGGUUGUAAUGUAUUCAUAGAGCUGUUUGAUAGGGUAUUGGCAUUGGUCUGUUGAGGUGCAUUGAUGGUAUUUGGUACAGAUCCCACACCACCUUGUGGCAUAGAGCCCAUAGCACCCUGCUGCAAUGAAUUAAACGAACUGCCUUGAACUGAAUCCAGAUUAGCAGCAGGCUGUAAUGCAUUUGUGAUAUUCUGCUGUGUUGCUGGAACACCAAAGUUUGUUGUUAAAGGCAUGGAUACAUGUUGCAUGCCGGUCACAGCAGAUGGCUGCAUUGAAGUGGCUGAACCUUGUAAAUUCAUUUGUUGCACCUGGUUUGGGUGAUUGUCAUGCUGCUGCAGCUGAGGAACUAGGGAUGGUUGUUGCUGUGGCAUGGAGUGAGCAAGUCCACCAGGAUGCUGGAAUUGUUGUUGUCCCUGAGAUUGUGAAGGUAUAACUUUCUUCUUAUUUGAAGUAAGAAUAUUAACAAUUUGCUUCUCAUACAGAGGAAUUCUGUCCUUCAAACCAGGUUGAAUAUUAUUCUUUGAGAUCUGUAGAAACGCUAAAGUACGCUCUAACAUCGUCUUAAAGUUUUUCAUUUUUUCAUACUGUUCUGAUGGCUUUGCAGGUGGUAUGAAACCAUCAUGCUGCAGACAUUAAAAUACCAAGAGAGAUACAUAAGUUAUCAACGAUCCGAAAGGUUAGCAGAAGUUAGUUUUCAAUACAAGACUUCUUCUAUUAAUCUUUUAAAGAAAAAUCUAAACUCUGUGCAACAAAUACACAAGAGAUAUUAGAACCUGCUGGAACUUCAAAGCAAUCCUUUGGUAAAGCUCAUUGAUGUCUGCAAAGUACAUAUCCCUCAUGGAUUUUAUCUGUCAUCAAUAAAAUAUAAUCAAAAUAUUAAUGCCAAAGCUUCAUGGGAACAUUUAUAGAUGUAGCUUGUAUUCUAAUUGUAGAAGCUAUAGCACUAUUGUACCCAAUGGUUUGUCACCAGCACAUAAAAUUCAUUAGCAAAAGAACACAUGAUAAGAUGUAUCAAUUUAUAUCGACAUUGAGAAAUACGACUUCCUUCAAUGCAUGUUAUCCAUGAAGAUACAAUAAAGUGUGUACUGAGUCUAAAAACAUGUGAUGCCACUAUUUUGUAAUCAGAAAACAUAAUCUGAACUAACAGAAAAUAUUAAAGAUGCAUUACAACUUUUCUGCUCAUAAUUUUUUUCGACCUCAGGGCUUAUAGAUUUCCCUCCCAACUUUUCUCCCAAACAAUUAUUAUCUGAUCAUUCUCAUCCUAAUUUUUUCUUGCAAGUCUUUUGACUCAAAAUCCUCCACAAAACCCAUGCAUGGCCCACCAUCAACUUUUCUUACGAGCCAUCCUGUAAAUUAUAGUAAUAUGAUGCAUGUGCCAUGCACGUGUUUGGAUGAACAGGAAUCCUGAAAAGAGAGUUUCGAUUUUGAUCCUGGUGUUGAGGUGUGACAGGCACAGAGACAUGCAGCACCUCUGAGCACCAGCACUAGAAUAAUUUCUCAUGCGACAUCCUAGUGCUUGAAAUCUCGAAAGAAACAACAUAAAGGGCAUUUUAGAAAAUAAAAAAUGGAGCUAUAUGAACUGGAGCUUCAUAGACGGAGUACUCUGGAGUCUCAAAUUAACAGUAGAAUAGAUGAGAGUACAGGAAAGUGCUACUGAUGUUAUGAGCUAACAAAAGAAUUUCAAUUUUUAAGUAAUUAUUCUCCUAGCAUAGGGUAGAAGCUAGACUAACAUUACAUGAAAGAAACCAAUGUCAGUGAUAAUAACAUUCCAAGCAGGGCUACAAUAAUUAAAGGGUUAUAAAAAGUAGUUGUUCAACAAAGCCAGGUUCUUCAUGAGUUCCAAUAUUAUAGCAUACAGCACAGAGCAAGGUAGUCAGAAUCUUAAAAACUUCAUUUCCAGAGAUAAGGGCCAAUAUGAGAAGUUUAAGGGGAUUUGUUUGGUUUACUUACUAUAAUUUGACAUGGAGAUGUCAGGUGUUCUGGAAUUAUUUUGGACAAAUAUCCAAGAUGCUUAUUCAAAAUCGGUAUAGCUUUAUGCUAGUAAAGUAAUCAUACACGUAAAUAUUAGCCUCUCUUUCUAGCCUCUAUAUGAGCUGACAACAUAUAUUACCACUAAAGAAAAAAAAAAGUCUAUUCAAACUGUGGAUGGUUUGGUGCUGAUUUGGCCCUCAAUUUGGAGAAAUUAUAUCCUACACCACAUGCACCACAUAGCAGUGCACCACGCCAAUCACCUCAGCUCGUUCCUAUGGGCCCCACUCAUCAUGUGCUCGUCUCAGAUUGUUCCUGUGGUGCACCCCUGACGUGGUGCAUGUGGUGUAGGAUAUAAUUUCUCCUCAAUUUGAGCCACUUGAAUGACCACAAAGGUAUUGAUCAAGCUUUCAGCUUCAGAAUUUGGGAAAAAUGUAGGUUAUGUCAAAAAUUACAUAAAAGAGUGUGAAGACUUAAGUUGUUUUGAUGUUACCUUUUGAUAGAUCUCCUCCUGCAAAUCAGCAACACCUACAUGUCCUGUCUGAGCGGUUGAAUCCACUGAUGCUGCAAAAGAAAAGAGAAUUUCUAAAUCAAGAGGGAUUAAACUGAAAAUGGAAAUUUGGCCUAUAACUCAAUCAUUUGGCAAGAACAUUUUCAAUUUUCAAGUGGUGGGAUUGAAUCAGCUUAGACAAGUGAAGAAAUUAUUUACAUGAAACAAAAUUUCCUAAGGCUUUUCAAAUUAGCAUGACAUUUUGUCAUGUAUAAGGAACAAUGGAGGAACUAUAAGCAUUACUAUACAAUUACUUACAAAUGAAGAACACAUAACCUUCAGUCCUUGUGCAAUACUUAAAUCAAGCCUGUCACUUUAUCAGAUCAUGGAUAUGCUAGCCUUUUCAGACCAUUACACAAUUUCGUGGACAAUUUGUUCAGCAUGGCAUAAGUAUUGUCAGAGAUUCUUUAAAAUCAUGAAUUGUUUUCAGAGAAAAUGUAUCUCAUCAAUGAACAAGACAUGAUUGAAGAACAAGAGAUUGAAAGAAAAUGGCACACAAAAUGCACAAUCCUGCAUAAUUGAAUAGAACUAGCAGGCAUGUGUCAGCAAAUAUGAUUUCUGCAGUGCAAUUAAUAACCAGACAUGCAUCAUUCCCAAUCCUCGAGGAUCAUCGAUUAUGUUGGCUGGCAAUUAUAGGCAGAGUCGUAAAUUGCAGAUGAAUAAGAAAUAAGAAAUAAUUCAUCAAUGAGGCCCCUAAUUUUAUGACCUUUUGCAGCAUGAAUGAAGAGCAACUAACCAUACAGCAUAGUUGUUGGCACUAACAAACUUAUAACCUAAGGGAGAAAGACAGUAAUGAUAUGAAUGCAGUUACAGUUAGGAGCAAACCAAACACCAGACAGCAACAAGGUUAAAGAGGCUAAAAGUCAAACAGUGGACACACGACAAACAGACAACAGAUGGAAAAGGUAAUAAAAAUACAAGGUAGUGAAAAAGGAGAGGAAGGGAAGACAAGUUACCAGCUCGAUGAGGCUUCAGGAAAAUAUGUAAGUCCCAAGUUGGAAAUUCUAACAACAAGAGCAUAACAUAUUGUGCAGUUCACAGAUAUGGAAUGCAGCUGCUUAAAACCCAGCAGAGCAUACAAGUAAAAGUCGUUGGCAGAUUAAAAUGUUAGAAUGGGAAACCAAAGGUCACAAUCAAGAAGCUUAUAAAUGUUAAGGAGAGGCGAGGCAAAGAGAAAAAGGCAAUCCACCAGCGUAAUUAGAGAGCUCAGAAAGCAGAAAUAGAGACUUUUAUUGGUAAAAAGCAAAGCAACCACUUUAUCAAGUGCUAAUGUCAUCAGGACUGCUUGCCAAUCUUAACCAAACAUAAUCACUCUUCAAUACACACCAGUUUUGGACAGCAGGGUUUGACUCAUUGGAAACUAGCAUCAAAUAAUCAUCGACAUAACAUGGAGGCCAUCCCCUCAGUGGACAAUUCAAGUCACAAUCAGAAUCAUUUUUGGUAAUGCACCUCACCCACAUUUGGGUAUAUGCAGAAUUCUCCAAGUUGGGUGUUGCAUCAAUUUCAGAACCUCAAACAUGCAAUAAAACCCACUUCAGAAUGCUUCCAGUAUGCUUUAUCAUAUAUCUCAUAUUACAGAUACCACAUUGACCAAUUAUAGUUAGAGCAAUCAGCUUUGUGAAGUAUACUACUUUUUUUCUUAAACUUGUAUCUCAUGCAGUUCAUGAGAUUCCAUCAAUAAUAAGUGAAUGAAUCUUUAUCUGUUCUUUCAUAUUGUUCUGUGUGAUUUUUCCUAGGUUCCCUAGCUUUCUAAUUUUUUGAGAAAUUAGAUUGCUGUUUCAUCGCUCUUGCUUCAUGCUAGGUAACAAGAACAUUGGGAAUGUGAUGAAGCAUCAAGUCAGUUGGUGAGAAUAUACAAUGGAGUAGCAGAUCACUUUACAAAAAAUAAAAUAACCAAAAGGGAUGUGAAGAAAAGGUCAAAUUCAGAUAAAUAAUAUCCAUUGGUUAUGUGCAAGAGAUCAAGGAAAAUUUAUAAAUUUCAUGACUUACUACUGGAGGAGACCUCUGGAAGCACUCUUUGUGCCUGGAUAAAUUGCUUCUGCUGCUCAAUUGCAUUCUGAGAUGGAAGCAAGGCACCUGGAGCUUGAAGCCUUUGCUGCAAGGAAUUUGGCUGUUGUUGCAUUGCCAAUUGCUGUUGCAACUGUGCAGGCUGAGAUUGAAAUUGAGAAAUGAGUUGCUGUUGUGAUGAUUGAUGCUGGGAUUGUUGACCUUGUUGUUGCAACAAUGACAAUGGCGUCUGCUGGGUUUGCUGCUGUUGUGGUGUAACCAUCUUUGGUUGUUGCAAAAUAUGCAUCGAGCGCUGAUGUGGCUGCAUGCUUGAAACAUUAGGAAGGGAUCCAAGUAGCUGCUGCUGAUGCUGCUGCUGCUGCUGCUGGUGCUGCUGCUGCUGUUGCUGCUGCAGCCCUGAUAUGGUGCUUUGGGGGCCUAACUGCUGCUGCUGAUGUAAGGAAAUACUUUGCUGAUUUAACAUCUGCUGAGGCUGUUGCAUGCCCAAAAGACUGUUCUGCUGAACUGGCAGUCUCUGUUGCUGUGGCUGUUGCAUGUCUUGGAUACUAUUUUGUUGUCCAAGCAGCUGAGCUUGUUGCAAAUUUGAAAUAUUCGCUUGCUGCCCCAUUAUCUGCUGCUGCUGUUGCUGCAAUGGUAAAUUUGAUUGCUGAGGAACAGGAGUUGGCUGUUGCUGAAGCGAAGGUGUUUGUUGAUGAAUAGAAGGCUGUACUUGUUGUUGUUGUCUUGCAACUGAUUGUGGAUGUUGCUGAAGCAAAGAUGGUACUGAUUGCUGAAUUGAAUUCAGUUGAUUCUGUUGAAGGCCAGGUUGCGCAGCUGACUGCAUCGUUGUAGGCUGUGGCUGCUGAAUAGUGGACUGACCUGACUGAAGACCUGAUGACAUUUGCAUCAGAGACUGUUGAGAAGAUUGCAGCUGGGUUGGCUGCAACAGAGAUUGUUGCGGCUGCUGCUGUUGCAAAUGCGGUUGCAAGAGUGAAGGAUGCUGCAACUUCUGUUUUAGUAACUGUUGUUGAAACUGCUGGUGGUAAAUAAGCUGAUUCUGAGAUUGCUGCUGCUGUUGAGAAAUCAUUUGUUGCUGGUGUUGCCUUCCCGGCAUUUGUCUUUGCGCAUUGGCAUAAAUAUCUGGUGCUGCACCUUGCCCUACAGAAUUACUUACAGAGUUCUGUGAUAUUCCAGGCAUGUUCUGCAGGUUGGAUGUCUGACCGACACUGGAUAUGUUGGACUGACUAAGACCUGUGAAAGAUGAUAGCGCAGGAGGCAGGUUCGCAGAACUUUGUACAGAAGUUGACGUGUUAUUUUGAAGGUUUUGUGGUAAAAGUUGUUGCCUUGCUGUAGGCGGAUUAACCGCAGGAAUUCCUAAUGGUUGCCCUUGAUUGCCGAGUGACACAGUUGUUACAAAGAUACCAGGAUGGUUGUUAGUUGACAGAAUUUUUGAAAGCAAUGAAGAAUAAAAGUUUAUCAAGUGAGCAAUUAUCCUACCUUAGCAAACUUUAAUUAACAAAGCUUUAUGCCACGCAUAAGGAGUUGGAUCUAGUAUUAAAGUAUGACUUAGCAAAGUGAGAAAGCAUUUUACAAUUGGCUCUCCACUUAUCAUCAACCUCAUCGAUCAAUGUUAUACCCUAACUCAGACCCUUCGUUUUAGCCUAUGUAACCGCACCAAUAGUUUAAAAAACGGAUAUUGGCAUGACACACAGACAUGGGUCCAUAAGAAGAAAUUCCUAGAUACUAAAACGAUCCAGUGUGUAGGCAUGCACCAGCACCCCGGAGCAUAUGUAAUACAGGAUGUACCUAGUUUAUGCAUCUUUAGAGAAGGAAGUGACUUAUCAUAAAACUUAAAAAGAUUGAUACUUGGUAGUUAGAAAACUUAUCCUCUUGGUUGCACAACAAGCUUAAAGACAUGGGAGCAAAACCACUCCCAGAUCUACAUUAGAGUCAAGGUUCGCCGUCUCGGUACCGCACUCCAUACCAGUGCCACACUAGCACAAUGUCGGUACAGUACGAAAUUUUUUGCGUUCCGAGUGUCGGUACGCCACCCAUACGGUGCAGUAUGCCCCAUACCGCCCGAUAUGGGCCGGUACGGCAUACAAUGAUUAGCAUGUAUCCUACCUACAUUGGAUUCCUUGAAUUGAGGAAGAAUUGUCAAUGCAACAAAAUAAGAAUUGGUUUGUCCAUGUUUUGGAUUUUUUGUGUUGUCAUGAAAAUACAAAAAGUGGAUAGAUUUUGCUAAGGAAAAAAAUAUGCACCUUCUUCAACAAUUCCAUGCAAUUUUGCAUGAAAAUCACCAACAUUGGUGUGUUUUUGUGGAAAAUGAUUUUAUAUCAAAAAGUAAUAAAUCUCAAAAUAUGCUAAUGAAAACUCCACAUCCAUUUGUUUCAAUACCAGAUAUUGUGGUAGGGAAAAUUUCACAUGCCCAAGCCAGUCGCUUUUUAAAACUAUUAAUUUAAAUCAGAUUUCAUAAAGAAAUAAGAGCUGUUUUAGUUAAUUUAUUAGUAAUUUGGUAACAAUGCUGAGUUUGUACGCAUAGUUUAUAACUUACUAUCCUUGUUCCCUUUUGUUUAUUCACUCAUCAUAGCAUUCAUUCAUGUAAAUCGCACUUAUUAUUCUUAGAAGCAAUGGUAAAGUUUCUUACGAUAGAUGCUUUAGAAGUUGAGAUUCUUUCUUUGUGAUUGUUUACUUAAUCUAGCAUAACGCUGAUUCAUGUUAAUUUUUAUGCUAGAUUUCUUUAGAUAGCUACUAAUGCAUGUACUCGACAUGUUAAUUAGUUAUUUAUCAUGCAUCCUUGGCAUGGCAUAGGAUGCUAAAGAGAUUGGUCAAAGAAAAACAAAAGCAAAGUCCAAGCAUGUAUAUUUCCAAAAAAGAAGCAUUUAAAACAAUUAAAAAACAGUAGGGGAUCAUAGGAUAUCAAAGCAUGACAAUUGCAAAUCUUCAAGUGUCUAACAAUAUUUUCAAUAUUAAUGCUUGACAUAUAUCAUACAUGCCCCCGACCAACUUAAGCAAAAUAAGUAAUAUGUUAAACUUGUUUUGGCAAGUCCAUUGAACUCCUUUGGUUGUAAGCUAUCGGCAAGUCAAUCCAUUUAUGCAGUUUAACAAUACAGGAGACUCUAAUUUUAUUCAUCUACUUUGUCAUUAAGUCCGAAUGAAUAGUGGAAGCAAGCACCUAAAUGCAUAAACUCAUGAUAUCUAACCAAUAAGGUAGGCUUUUAUACCUAUAAAAUGGGUGGCAAAAAUUGACUGAAAACCAAAAGUCUACCUGACCUGCACCUGUUUAGGUAAUAUUUAGGACAAGGACUUUAGUUUGGGCUAUGUGAUAGGUCAAAUUUUUUGACCCAGACUUUAAACAUGUCAGAUACGGAUCAAAGUUUUGACUGUACUCACACAAUGAGAAUAAAGUUUUACUUAGAUCGGGUUGAGUCUUGAACUAGGUGAAAAGAUUUUGAGAACAAUCGAUGCUUUUUUAAUAUUAGUUGUAAUAUUCACCUCCAUUUGAUGCGUCAAGAGUUGCAAGUAAGGUACGCCGUCUAGAUACCGGGCCCCGUACUGGUGUCAUGCUAUCACUGUAUCGGUAUGGUACGAUACGAGAUCGAUUCGACGUAUCGAGUGUCGGUAUACCCUCCACACCAUAUACCAGUACGGUACAGUAUACUAUGUACUGCCCGAUUCGGUAUGGUACGACAUACCAUGGCUACAAAAAGUGGUCAAAAAAGUCUUAGUUAGUUUGGGUAUGCAUCACGUUGCAUGGGUUUGGCCGGUCAAGGCGGUUAACAUGUCAGUGGGUACAUGGACCAAAGAAUCCCCAUAUGAUGCUGGGUCAGGUUCAAUAUGGUCAAGGUUUCCAUAAUAUUGUCCUACUUUGACCCAUUCGAGCUAUUAAAUAACAUGCAUAGGACAAGUACUAAAAAGGAUAAGAAAAACAUAUUAAGAAACAACAAUAGACGCCAAUUAUACAGAAAAAAGGGACCAAAUAAAACUAUACGAAAGGUAGGGAGAGAAUGUACAUGGUGCAACACCAAAUGAUAUUUUACUUGUAGAAAAAGCUCAGAGCAUUUAUCUGCUUCACAUAGUCUAUAAACCAAAAUAAAACGUGAAAAUAAACAAAGAGCAGUAUCUGUGAGUUUCUUUUAGAUGCCAAGCAUACAACAAUUUCUCCAAUACCCAGAAUGUCUAAUUUAAAUCUUUUACGACAUUGCAUUAAGACAAAGCAAUAUGUCCUAUCAUGUCAAUACCUGAGUCUGUAGGAUUUUGGUUCGGAAUGGUGGUGUUCGGCAUUGGAGGAGUAUGCUGAGUCUUUGUCUCCAUCGAAAGCAUUUUCAGAGAAAUUUUCCUCAGNNNNNNNNNNNNNNNNNNNNNNNNNNNNNNNNNNNNNNNNNNNNNNNNNNNNNNNNNNNNNNNNNNNNNNNNNNNNNNNNNNNNNNNNNNNNNNNNNNNNNNNNNNNNNNNNNNNNNNNNNNNNNNNNNNNNNNNNNNNNNNNNNNNNNNNNNNNNNNNNNNNNNNNNNNNNNNNNNNNNNNNNNNNNNNNNNNNNNNNNNNNNNNNNNNNNNNNNNNNNNNNNNNNNNNNNNNNNNNNNNNNNNNNNNNNNNNNNNNNNNNNNNNNNNNNNNNNNNNNNNNNNNNNNNNNNNNNNNNNNNNNNNNNNNNNNNNNNNNNNNNNNNNNNNNNNNNNNNNNNNNNNNNNNNNNNNNNNNNNNNNNNNNNNNNNNNNNNNNNNNNNNNNNNNNNNNNNNNNNNNNNNNNNNNNNNNNNNNNNNNNNNNNNNNNNNNNNNNNNNNNNNNNNNNNNNNNNNNNNNNNNNNNNNNNNNNNNNNNNNNNNNNNNNNNNNNNNNNNNNNNNNNNNNNNNNNNNNNNNNNNNNNNNNNNNNNNNNNNNNNNNNNNNNNNNNNNNNNNNNNNNNNNNNNNNNNNNNNNNNNNNNNNNNNNNNNNNNNNNNNNNNNNNNNNNNNNNNNNNNNNNNNNNNNNNNNNNNNNNNNNNNNNNNNNNNNNNNNNNNNNNNNNNNNNNNNNNNNNNNNNNNNNNNNNNNNNNNNNNNNNNNNNNNNNNNNNNNNNNNNNNNNNNNNNNNNNNNNNNNNNNNNNNNNNNNNNNNNNNNNNNNNNNNNNNNNNNNNNNNNNNNNNNNNNNNNNNNNNNNNNNNNNNNNNNNNNNNNNNNNNNNNNNNNNNNNNNNNNNNNNNNNNNNNNNNNNNNNNNNNNNNNNNNNNNNNNNNNNNNGCCUGGUUUCAAGCGAUUUUGGGCUUUUUCGGACUGAACCGGGUUCAUUCUUUUGCAAGUGAGUUACAACUCCUCUCCCUCUCUCCUCUCUCCUCUCUCCCAAUCCUCCUUGCCCCUCCCCUCUCUCCCUCUCCCCAGUCCUCCUCACCUCUCACAAGUCUCCUCUCCUAUCAUGAUUCCUCUUGCUAGGUUAAGGUGUCAUUGCCGCCACCGCCUAUGAUAACAACGAUGACAAUGACAAUGACAAUGACGACCAUGGACCACCAUCUCUCUCUUUCUCUUCUCUCUCAUCAUGCCACCAAUGAUGACAACAUUGAAGGUACACUUGUCCCUCCCUCCUUCUCUCUCCUGCCCCUUCCUCCCUCCCUCCCUCCCUCCUUAUCCCCCCAUCCCCUCUCCCUCCUGUUGGUUCCAAUAUGCCUCGGGUUAGUAUGAUACUAAUGGUACAAUACCAAACCAAUAGCCGACCAGUACAACCACCCAUACCAAUAUCUUGCAUCCGCUUCCACAUCCCCACCCACUUAUAGGCCUUGUUAUCUACUCACUAUAUAAGAUCAUGUGUUCCCCUUACAGAGCUUAUAAAAUUGGUCCUGUUUUUCAUAAUACCUUUAGAACAUGUGCAAUGUAUCUACAGAAUAAUUGUAACCAUAAACCUUACUCCAAAUAGACAAGGUUAGCACUUGGCUCCAGAAAUCCUUCUUCACCCGUCAUUACAAUGAAGGGCCACAUUCACUUUAGAGAUGCCUCCCCAAAAAUUCGAUCCACAUUAUCAUAUCUCUUUUCCUCCUCUUUUCUAACUGUUAAAUACUAGGAUCAAUUUGUCUGUACCUCCUAUACUUCCUUUUUAUGCCCUAAACUUCUUUUUUCUAUUGACUCCCCAAAACCAAAAAAGGCAAUCUUAUCCCCACUUAUCUCUUCACCUAGACUUCCUAGUACCACAAUCUUAGGACUCUCAUCUUGUAUGGCUGGCUCCCAUGAUUGCUGCAACAUCCUAAACCAAGCAUUUUCAGUCAUCUUAUUGGUUUAUUAGUUUUCCCUUAUAUGUCAGGCCAACCCAGGGGUUUGUCACGUAACACCCCAGAAACACCUNNNNNNNNNNNNNNNNNNNNNNNNNNNNNNNNNNNNNNNNNNNGUUAAACCUAAGACCUCAUCGAUUCCCUCCCAAGCGGCUUGGUACCCAAGCCACAGUCCAAAACUCGACCACCUCCAUCUAUUACGAAAACUUCGGAAGCAACUAAUGGGGUCUGGGUUCUUCUAUUUCCGGAAAUUAAUCACGCAUACCGAAAACAAGAACCACAAAAUCAAAAAAAAAAAGGGAAAGAAAACAAAGCAUCGCAAUAGAUUCAAAAUUUUCUCACUGGAACCAACAAAUCAUCCCAUACCCACAAAAUUUGACCAAGAAAACACCAAGAUAUCAAGAUUUAAGAACCCACCGGUCAAAUUAAGGAUCCAUCGCUCGCGCAUGUAUCGGAUUCAUCUAAAAACCUAAAAAGCAAGAGGCAAGAAAAGGGUCCGAGAUCCACUCACAUCUUAUUGACGAUCCUCUGCCGAGCAUCGUGCUGCAGCUGGCCCCGCCAGUCGCCGGCCGUGGCGUCAGCGGCGGAGGGCUCCCCCUGGCCAGGCCUCCAGCUGUUCCCCUCCAUCGGCGGCGAUCGAAAACCUAAAAGGGCCAACAGAAAAUAAACACCCGGAGACCUCAGCGGCGGCGGCGGAGAGAGAGGAUGAGACAACCCAUCGGCGGCUAAUAUCGGCGGAUCGACUAAAGACAGAGAGGNNNNNNNNNNNNNNNNNNNNNNNNNNNNNNNNNNNNNNNNNNNNNNNNNNNNNNNNNNNNNNNNNNNNNNNNNNNNNNNNNNNNNNNNNNNNNNNNNNNNNNNNNNNNNNNNNNNNNNNNNNNNNNNNNNNNNNNNNNNNNNNNNNNNNNNNNNNNNNNNNNNNNNNNNNNNNNNNNNNNNNNNNNNNNNNNNNNNNNNNNNNNNNNNNNNNNNNNNNNNNNNNNNNNNNNNNNNNNNNNNNNNNNNNNNNNNNNNNNNNNNNNNNNNNNNNNNNNNNNNNNNNNNNNNNNNNNNNNNNNNNNNNNNNNNNNNNNNNNNNNNNNNNNNNNNNNNNNNNNNNNNNNNNNNNNNNNNNNNNNNNNNNNNNNNNNNNNNNNNNNNNNNNNNNNNNNNNNNNNNNNNNNNNNNNNNNNNNNNNNNNNNNNNNNNNNNNNNNNNNNNNNNNNNNNNNNNNNNNNNNNNNNNNNNNNNNNNNNNNNNNNNNNNNNNNNNNNNNNNNNNNNNNNNNNNNNNNNNNNNNNNNNNNNNNNNNNNNNNNNNNNNNNNNNNNNNNNNNNNNNNNNNNNNNNNNNNNNNNNNNNNNNNNNNNNNNNNNNNNNNNNNNNNNNNNNNNNNNNNNNNNNNNNNNNNNNNNNNNNNNNNNNNNNNNNNNNNNNNNNNNNNNNNNNNNNNNNNNNNNNNNNNNNNNNNNNNNNNNNNNNNNNNNNNNNNNNNNNNNNNNNNNNNNNNNNNNNNNNNNNNNNNNNNNNNNNNNNNNNNNNNNNNNNNNNNNNNNNNNNNNNNNNNNNNNNNNNNNNNNNNNNNNNNNNNNNNNNNNNNNNNNNNNNNNNNNNNNNNNNNNNNNNNNNNNNNNNNNNNNNNNNNNNNNNNNNNNNNNNNNNNNNNNNNNNNNNNNNNNNNNNNNNNNNNNNNNNNNNNNNNNNNNNNNNNNNNNNNNNNNNNNNNNNNNNNNNNNNNNNNNNNNNNNNNNNNNNNNNNNNNNNNNNNNNNNNNNNNNCAGACGGAUGUUAUCUCAUCCAUUUUUACUGUUGGUUUGGUUCCUUCAAUUCCUCUGGCUUUUAGCCUGCUGAAAGUCAUGGUUCGAAUUGUUCGUUGUGUAAGUGUCGAAGCCUUAUCCUUUCUCAAACCAAAAGCUCAAUCUAAAAAUAUUCCGUUCCAUGGUAUCAAUGUUAAGUUAGAUAUUAGCGUCCCAGCGCUGGAAGUUAUUUUUGGUAUAUUGCAAUCUAAGAUUUUACUUUCAUUGUUAUUGAAGAUAAAUCUAUUCCUUAGUAUUUCGGCUCACGAAAGAAACAUGUCACUGUCGGAAUUUUCUUCCCUUCAAAACCAUGGAAUAUAAUACAGUAUUACAGUGUGAGCAACGUGUCGUUGAGUAUUAGAUUUUUAUUUUAUCCGACUGCUACCUGAAGACCCAGGCAUUGCACAGGAUUGAAUACACAUAUAUAGAGUUUGGGAAUAUUGAUAAAUUUUGAUUGAGUCACCGAAUAAUAUUUUUUAUUAUAAAUAAUAAGUAGUAUAACAAUAUUUUUAUGAUUUGUUAGAUAUUGCAUGUAUUAUUAGCUAAUGCUUGCAUAGUCAUUGUUGUGGGAAGGGCCUGAAUUUACUCCCAUACCGACUAGGCAGCGAAAAGGUCUGUGCCUUAAAGAGCAAAAACUUCUUUCCUCACGAGGCGCCUUUUGAAGGACAAAACCGUGCGGGUAUCCCCCCAUCAGCGCUGGAGCGCACGCCGGAAAAAAUUCCCCCCGUAGCGCUGGACGCGCGGGCCGGAGUCCCAGAACGGACAAUACCUCGUGGGGGACGCGGGCCGUUCUUUGUCGUCAGUUGGUUAGAACUGUACUGUUAUCGGGUCAGAAGGCCCGCAAUAGAUGGCGCUAGAAGGAGGGCCCGCCUGCACAUAGAAACUCUCCCUAGGCCUGGGGGGCUGUCACGGGUAAAACCGGCACAGGACCUUCCCGCUGGGGGGCUAUGUUGUGGAAAGGGCCUGAAUUUAGUCCCAUACCGACUAGGCAGCGGAAAGGUCUGUACCUUAUAAGGAGGGGAAACCUCUUUCUUCACGAGGCGCCUUUUGAAGGGCAAAAUCAUGCGGGUAUUUCCCUGUCAGUGCUGGACGCGCGAGUCGGAAAAAAUUCCGCCCGUAGCGCUGGACGCGCGGGCCGGAGNNNNNNNNNNNNNNNNNNNNCGGAGUCCCAGAGCGCACAAUACCUCGUGGGGGGAUGCGAGCCAUUCUCUGUCGUCAGUUGGUUGGGACUGUGCUGUUGUCGGGUCGGAAGGCCCGCAACAGUCAUGAAUGGGAGUAAUGGUUACAUAAUAAAUAGUUACAUAGGGGGAAUUUUUUUUGAUAGAGUUAAGAGCUCUUAUUUGAUAUAUUCUUUAUAUGAUUAAUAAGAUAUAUAUUAGGUUAUUAAAUUAUAUUAAAUAAUUUUUUUAUGAGUACUAUUAAAUUAAUAAAUAAAUUAAUAAUAUUAUAAAUAAUUAUAAUUGUUUAAUGUAUGUUGAUAUUAAUGCAAAAUAUUUUUCUUUAGUCAUUAGGAAAAAAAUAACUAUAUAAAGAUAUUUAUCCGCCAUGUGUACAUCCCUUGCUGGGCCUUUGCAAUUUAAGCCUCUUAAAGUUGCUCUAGUCAUAUUUAGCUGUGAAUCUUAUAAAUCCCAUAAAUCCCUCUAAAAUAAGGUAAAGGCGGAUAUGGCUCCGGGAUCUAUAUUUUCUAUGAAAUAGGAUGGUUCACAGAGAGAGGAGGAAAAAAAAAUGGUCAACUGAAAAAUAAAGAUAUUUCUUAAUUUAGUUGGAGUUUUCAAAAAAAUAAAAAAAUAGUUUUUGUGGAAAUGAGAUUCUCAUAUUUCAUGAAAAAGAAAAAUUCAUAUGAGAUAUGAGAAAGUCUAAUUUCUACUGGUUGAAAAUUAGAUUAACUUUUUUUCAAAAAUAUUCUUCAGAGUUUAGAUAGAAUGUGAUAAGAUUUUUUUUCUUUAUUAAGAGUAUAACAAGUAUUUUACAUAAUUUUUUUAAGAAAAUAAAUGCUCAACCAAACUAAACUACCAUGGAAUGUGUCGUUUUUUCUUGGUCAACCAACAUACAAAAAUCACUUUCUCAAGCAUUGUAUACCGAAGCAUAUAUUUUUUAGAUAAAAUAUUUAAUGAAACAAAAAUCUUUCAACGAACCAAACUAGUUCUUAGCUCUGAUCAGAAAGGGAAUCAUGGCAUUGAUGGCUUAAGUGCUCCAAAUCCGAGGUUCAAAUAGCAUGUUUUGGUGGGUGUUAACAUUUUAAGACUAACUUAGGGUUUUGGUGCAUUACUUUAAUGUAAUCUACGAAAUGAGUCAACAAUUAUGGGUUAGCACAUGUAAUCUUGAAUUUCAUGUCCUUCUCUUUCCGUUCUUUUUGCCAGGUUAUCAUCAUCAUGCAUUUAUUAAACAUUCAGGAGCAAGGUUUGUUGAGAAGCUCCUAUGUGCCAGAAGUUGCCAAGUCCUUUUUCUUUUCUAGGAUGGGCGAUUCAUAUUUGAUGAGUACAAAUAUAUCCAAUAAAGUCAGAGAAUAAAAUAUCUCGAAAUGCCUGAGGCAGCUCCCCAUCUCCAGCCCACACGGUACUGCCCGUAUGGCUGGCCACAUAGGCGGCCACCUUGGCGCAAGCCAGCAGUGCCAUACUUGUCGUACCUAAGGACAUCACCAUAGAUGGAUAGAUUAGUGAUGUGUGCACAUUGGGUCGAGGUUGUACCUUUAACGUGAAAUAAGUUGAUGGGGACAUCAUAGCUGACCACCCUGCCGUUUAGUCCCCAAUUUUAUUUGCAUUUUAUUUUCUUUUAUUUCUGGGUUUACUUGCAAUUUUAUUAUUGUUGAACUUUAUUUGUGUAGUUUGGGCUUAUUGGGAAUUAUUUUGUGUAAAGGGGUUUAUUUUAAUUGUUCUUAUUGGGCCCUAUUUAUAUAGGUAACUUUUAUGUUGAUUAGAGUUAAUGAAGUAUUAAAGUUUUCUCCCCCACCUCUCUGCCUACCGUCUCUCUUCCUCCCUUCCCGUCUCUUUCUUCCUCCUCUCUUCUUCUCCCUUUUCUCGUCUUCUCUGCCUCUCUUCCUCUCUUAUUCUCCUCCUCUUCUUCCUCCCUCUUCCUCUGUCUCCUGGUUUUGAGAAGCAACAGUCAUCCUGAGUUGGACUUGCACCGCAUCAGCCCUUCUCCCGUCCCGGUUCGGCAUCAUAAGAAUUUACCUUUCUUGGCACAAAUCCACACGGUGAGAUCAUCCACCGGAUAUUUUGAAAUCCAUGCAUGCAGAGAAAAUUUGAAAAGCUUUGAGAUCAAUGCUGUACGUGAUCCACCGAUGGAUUUGCGUGAAGGAAGAUGAACCCUUCUUUUGUGCAAAGGUACAACCCCAUCCCAUGCUCACAAUGGGGUGGCCCUGAUGCAGAAGGUCACAAGAAUAAGUUAUGUUGUUAUAUCAGCAAAUCACUGCCUUUUGCUGCGAAUAUUAAUCCACCAAACUCUCUCUCCAUCUCUAGCUUGGCAUUGGAGACUUGGAGUUAGGGAUCGAUCCGGCAAACAGGCUAGCCUCGCUGCACAUGCACACGAUUGACAUGCUUUAUGGAACCAACGAGCAUAAAAUAGUUUUCCGCGCCAAUAUCUCCAUAGAGGAGAAGGUCAUGGAUGGAGUUCACCUCGUAGCAGAGGUCGUUCGAAGGGGAAGGGGUGGUGGCGAUGGGGGAGAGGAGAGAGUCUGAGAUGGCUAAAGUUCGUUGGAUCACUAAAGGAGCGUCGCCUCCACCAUUGGCAUCGGGUUCUUGAUCCAUCACCAUGGUGGAUUUUGGAGAACAAUGAAAAGGGAUUUAGGGUUCUUGAUUCUAUCCUUAAUUCUUAGAUUCCCUUGACAUUGAUGCUAGGAAGGCAAAAACACCAAUUUGUCAAUUAGCAAAUUAUGCCAAUUUCUAGUCAUAGCUUCGGUAAAUAUAUCUGCAAUCUGAUGUUUGGAGCGAACAUAAGAUAAAAUAACAGCACUUUUUUAUAGAAGCUCCCUUAUAUAAUGGCAAUCCACUUCUAUGUGCUUAGUACCUUCAUGAAAAAAAUGGAUUGUUGGCUAUCUAAAUUGCACUCACAUUAUCAUCAUAAAGUCUUGUGGAAGUUUUCAAGGGCACCCCAAGGUCAGCAAGUAACUACAAAUAUGGGUAAUUUUAGAACACGUUGUAGACAUAGAACGAUAUUCCACCUCAGCGGAUGAUUUGAAAACAUAAUCCUGCUUCUUAUACUUUCAAGAUAUUAAAGAUUCUCCUAAGAACAUACACCAACCAGUAGUGGACCGACGAGAAUAUGGGCGUCCGACCCAAUCAACAUCAGCAAAGGUAGUCAGAGUAAGUGAGGAUGAGGAAAAGGAAAUAAGAGUCCAUGCCCAUGAGCACAGUUGUUUGAUCUCCAAAACACCUAUAUCGUCGCUCCAAAACAGCUAUAUCGUCACCACCGGUGAUAAUUAUACCGUCAACUUAAAGCUAGCAAAAGAGUUGCAAAUAAACAUUGAGAAGUCGCAUACACUGAAGAUGGCAGUUUCGAAUUUCUCAAACCAAGCUCGAGGAGCUGAUCUCAAUCCAUACAGAGAUUUACGAAGCCAACAAACAAGAUCUGAACAAGGUAAUUGAUAACCAGGUGGAGGCUCCAUAUAUAUAGUUUCCUUGAGAUCCCCAUAAAGAAAAGUAUUCUUAACAUGCAUUUGGUGUGAUAGCCAAGGAUGGUGAAAAGCAAAUAUCAAAACCACACGUACAGUUGCCAAUUUUGCAACUGGAGCCAAAGUUUCUUCGUAAUCAAUCCCACAUUCAUGCUUAUACCCCUGUGCAACGAGCUUUGCUUUGUUCCUGUCAAGUGUCCCAUCAGCCAUUAGCUUAAUUGAAUACAUCCCAAUAAUUUGUCCAUUUAGGAACGGUGAACAAAGAUCCCAAGUAUGAUUUUCGUCAAUUGCUUGCAGCUCCUCAUCCAUAACCUUCCUCCAAGACUCUUUUUCUGCUGCUUGUUUAUAGGAGGAUGGAACAGAUAUAUUAUGCAAAGCAGCAAAUCGCACUGAUGAAUUGUCAUAUCUUUUAGGUGUGUAACAUAUCGUACUGGUGGCACAGAAUGAUCAGUAGAGCAUUGAAGAGAAAGUGUAGAUUCAAGAGACUCAAGAGGUAGUAAGUUCAACUUCCAUGAUCUAUGAGGGGGAAGGUGUAGAUAUAAAUCCUCACUGUGCUCAUUACUUUGAUCAAAUAAUGAUGAAACAUUUGAUACCAGGGAGUCUGAAAAAUAUGGUACGUAUGACGCAGAAGUUGAAAAUGAUAGGAUUGAAUUCACUAAUGAAGAUAAGUAAUAAUAAGUGUUUUAAAUGAACGAACAUGCCUAGAGAUACGAAUCCUUCGUUUCUGUGGAUCAUAAUAGAUAAACCCUUUUCGGUUAUUUGCAUAUCUUAGAAAUGCCACACUCUAUGAGGUGGGAGGAGAACAAAGUACAGCAAAAAACAUGAAGGUGUAAAUAAUCAGGAGAAUUGUGGUUGACUAUUGAUUAAGUAUGCGAUGGUUUUGACGGCUUCUACCAAAAAAAAAUUAGGUGUCUUUGACUCAAUAAGUAAAGCACGUGCUAGUUUUAAAAUAGUUCAACAAGCCCAAUUUGCUCCAGUAUAGUAUAUAUGUUGGGACAUGGUAAAUUUUUUUUAAUAAACUUGACUCACAAUAUUCUCCCCCUAAAUCUGAAUGAAAGAGUUUAAUGCGAACACCAUUUUGUUCUCUAUCAUGUUAAUGAAGGAUUUUACAAUAGAUGACAUUUUGGAAUUAGAAUGAAUAAAAUAUAUUUUAUAUAUAUCAGGUGAAGUGAUCAAUAAAGAAAAAGAAAUAUUUAUACCUCAUAUGAGAUACCACAGGUGAUGGACCCAAACAUCACUAUGUACUAAAUUAAAAGGGGCAACAUAAACUGUGCGACUCAUAGGAAAAUAAAAGUUUAUGGGUUUUGGAGAGAGCAUAACUUUAACAAUUUGUAUGAAUUGAUGAAAUAGAAAUCUUGCUCAGUGGCAUAAUAAACUUCAAUAUCAACUGCAGCUUAUGAGUAUGUGGGUGGCCAAGAUGGCGAUGUCAAAAGUCCCAGAUUUUAUUGGAGAUAGAGACAUCAUUAACUGAAGAAGAAAGUAAGCUACAAGAAAAUGGCAUGCCAUCAUCAAAUGUCAAGCACAAUGAGUCGUCCAUGUCUGAAACCCUUCCCGAUCAUUUUCCCAAUGCGCCAAUCCUGAACCAAACCACCAACAUGAGAAAAAUGGACUAAGCAAUUAUUUUCAACAAGUUGACCAAGAGAAAUAAAGUUUGCAAUUAAUUUUGGCACAUAGAAAACAUUGGAUAAUGGGAAUGAAUUUUCAGAGGUACAUGGAAUAGUUCCAAUAUCUAAAAUUGGUAAUUUUUCUCCAUUGCAGUUGUAAUAGGUGCACUAGAAGAGUUAAAUUGGAUAGAGAAAAGUUUUUGAUACCAACCAGUCAUAUAAUUAGAAGCACCAGAAUCUAUAAACCAUUGAGAUCAGGGAUAUUUUAUGUCUGAUAUAAUAGCAGCAGAAAGAGAAUUUCAGAUAGCACCUGGAAAAGCAGAAGCUACAGAUUCUCGAAUCAUUUUCUGAAUCGUUUCAGAAGUAGGAGAGGCUUAAGUACCGGGAUCAAUAUUGGUUGGGUUGGCAGUCGAUGUUUGAUAGGCUUUUUGCCCUUAUCUUUGUUCGCUCCAAAGGCGACAUUUAGAAAUGAUGCGACCCUUUUCCGACAACAAUUACAGAAAUUCCGCUUCUUGCAAUGUGAGAAUAUGAGACCAUAUUCUUUACAUUGAUGACACUGAAUGCGGUUGAGAUCUUUUUGCUUUAGCUUUGGCUUAUCCUGAUAUCUUAAUGAAAAUAAAGCACCAUCAAAAUUUGUUGUUGCAUGAUCAAUGAUGGCCUGUGCAUGAAGCGGAGUUUCUUUUCGAAGGAGAUUUGAAACAGCAUCAUCUAGAUUUGAUAUUAUCUAGCGAUAAAUAAUAUUCACACAAAUUAAUUCAAAUUUCAAAUGUAGUUUCAUCAAAAGUUGCAUCACUCUACUCUUUCUGUAUUCUUUCAUGUUCGAAGGUUGCAUCAUGGAAAGUGAAGCCACUCUCCAGCUCUCCAGCCUCUCUUGGACAUGCUGCACCACCUCCAUGCACUCGGAUACACGCAGUCUCCUCCCAGAGAUAGGAAUACCCAGAUAAUCCUCCAGUCACCUCCAUGCACUCGGAUACAUGCUAAAGUAGAUGGCGGACUUGUGGACGUUUACUCGCUGCCCAGUCACCUCGCAAUAAUCCUCCAGGACCUGCUUCAACGCUCGCGCAUCCCACAUUCGUGCCCUGGCCAAAAGAAGACAAUCGUUAGCAAAUAAAAGGUGAGAAAUCGGCCGAGCCUCAGGGUCUGGAACAUAAGCCUCCAGCUCCCGUGCCCGACAUGCAGCCCGCAAGGAGCAGGAUAGAACAUCGACACAAAUGAUAAAUAAGUACGGAGACAAGAGACAUUCCUAGCGUAGACCGACGGUCGAACGGAAAAAAGUCGACGGUGUGUCAUUAAUCAGGAUUGAGAAGGAUGGCCCCAAAACGCAACCAAGUACCCUGUUGAUCCACGUCCUAUGGAAUCCAAAGCUCUCCAUCACCUACCUGAGGAUGGGCUACCGAUCCAUAUCAAGCUUGACGGCCAUAAUGCAACGACGUCUCAGAGCUCAGUGCAGAUCCCACAUUAUCUUUUGGACAAUCAUAGUAUUAUCUGAGAUGCUCCUCCCUCCAAUGAAGGCCUCCUAUUCCUGACAGAUGAGGUUGCACAAGAUGAUCGAUAGCUCAGCUACUUCCUUUGCUAAGCCAAAGAGCAACUCAAACUCAGAAGUCGAGGGGACAAAUGAUGGGAGGCAAAAUGGAUCGUCCUGCUCUAGCAUGGGACCACCCAAUUCAUGCCGAAUAGACCUCAGAGCUGAGCAGGCCAGGCCUCGGUCCGCUAAGAGCCAGAUUGACCUCGGCCCCUGCCUAAGACCGAGGCGACCUCAGCCCUCGCCGAAGGCCGAGCCGACCUCGCCAAGCACAUGCCGCUACUAUAGCCUGCAGCAACCUCACCGCGCCAUACUUUGUUUGCUGGUCAUGCCAUGACGUGUCAACCAAGAACCAUGCCUUACUGCCCUAGCCAUACUUGCUGCCAAGGGUCAUACCCUGCCACACCCGCCAACACCAUGUCGUGCACAAGGGCUGCCCCAGACUAUGUGCCUCAAGCAAGCCUUGGCCACACGCCACCUGGCCAAGAGUAUCUCCUCCCAUGAUGAGGAUGGACCAUACCUCAACUACCUGGGCACCCUUGUGAGAACUAUAAAUAAGCCAUAUCAAAAAUAAGAGGAACUUUUUUUUCCAAAAACUCUGAAUCUACACUAACUUAGCCAUCGGAAGACCUUCACCGGAAUCUCCGGCCAAAACUUUGUGCAGGUAAAUCGGCACGCAGGAGAUGGCUCUCUUUCUUCAUCCCGGCCGGCGUCCUCUCGAUUUCCUCCGGCGUGGUCACCCUCAAGCCAGAUUUCAACCCCAAAAGACAGCAAUCAAAAGAUCCUCUGCACACGUCCGGUUGGCGUAAAUGCACCAUAUUUUAUUCUGCAGUGUAGACAAGUUUAAAACAUGCAUGGACCUAAAGGAUUAUUUUGCACGGCCAAUGCACAUGGUAGGCUAAUGGCUACAUCACUAUUUUCAUGCCAUGCAUCAACUGAACUUCUGUCCUUCCUAAUCUCGUUCUUGAGCUCUAGGAACUCACAAGUCAAAAAACAAUGAUAGAAAAGCAAAAUUAUGCAUCUGACAUCUCUGAAUUCUUCUUACACUAUCAAAGUUUUCUUACAACCAACAGCGGGAUUACAAAUUGAUGAUACGUACUGUUUUUAUUUAUCUAACUCCAAAUGGAAGCAGGUUUAAAAAAGGAAUCUCUUGAAUGCUCUCUUGGCACAACACAUUGGAGAAAAUCAUAUAAAAGUCAUACAGAGAAAUGAUACAGGAAUAGGAGCCUUUUCUUGUACAUAAAACAAGAAAAGGGGGAUUAAAGCCUUUGUCUCGAUAGAAAGUAUUUUCUGACAAAUUUUCCUCAGAUAAUCAGCCUACAGUAUCAUAAAGUCAGAAAACUUACUUCCAUCAAAGCCAGCAACUCAAAAUAAUGAGAAUGAAGAGGAAACAAACAGAUACAAGUGCCUCUUUUAAUUGCUGCGACUGCAGUAAUUGCUGCUUUUGCUGAUGCUGAAGCAUUGGUUGCACAUGUCGCUGUUGUAAUUGCUGCUUCAUUUGCUGACUUUGCAUCAAUUGCUGUUGUUGAUCCUGCUGUUGCUGCUUCAAAUAGUGCUGCUGUACUGUGUUAGAACUUGGUUGCACAAGACUAGCAUUAGGUUGUAAUGUAUUCAUAGAGCUGUUUGAUAGGGUAUUGGCAUUGGUCUGUUGAGGUGCAUUGAUGGUAUUUGGUACAGAUCCCACACCACUUUGUGGCAUGGAGCCCAUAGCACCCUGCUGCAAUGAAUUAAACGAACUGCCCUGAACUGAAUCCAGAUUAGCAUCAGGCUGUAAUGCAUUUGUGAAAUUCUGCUGUGUUGUUGGAACCCCAAAGUUCAUUGUUGAAGGCAUGGAUACAUGUUGCAUGCUGGUCACAGCAGAUGGCUGCAUUGAAGUUGCUGAACCUUGCAAAUUCAUUUGUUGCACCUGGUUUGGGUGAUUGUCAUGCUGCUGCAGCUGAGAAAUUAGGGAUGGUUGUUGCUGCGGCCUGGAGUGAGUAAGUCCACCAGGAUGCUGGAAUUGUUGUUAUCCCUGAGAUUGUGAAGGUACAACUUUCUUCUUAUUUGAAGUUAGAAUAUUAACAAUUUGUUUCUCAUACAGAGGAAUUCUUUCCUUCAAACCAGGUUGAAUAUUAUUCUUUGAGAUCUGUAGAAACGCUAAAGUACGCUCUAACAUCAUCUUAAAGUUUUUCAUUUUUUCAUACUGUUCUGAUGGCUUUGCAGGUGGUAUGAAAGCAUCAUGCUGCAGACAUUAAAAUACCAAGAGAGAUACAUCAGUUAUCAACGAUUCGAAAGGUUAGCAGAAGUUAGUUUUCAAUACAAGACUUCUUCUAUUAAUCUUUUAAAGAAAAAUCUAAACUCUGUGCAACAAAUUCACAAGAGAUAUUAGAACCUGCUGGAACUUCAAAGCAAUCCUUCGGUAAAGCUCAUUGAUGUCUGCAAAGUACAUAUCCCUCAUGGAUUUUAUCUGUCAUCAAUAAAAUAUAAUCAAAAUAUUAAUGCUAAAGCUUCACAGGAACAUUUAUAGAUGUAACUUGUAUUCUAAUUGUAGAAGCUAUAGCACUAUUGUACCCAAUGGUUUGUCACCAGCACAUAAAAUUCAUUAGCAAAAGAACACAUGAUAAGAUGUAUCAAUUUAUAUCGACAUUGAGAAAUGCGAUUUCCUUCAAUGCAUGUUAUCAAUGAAGAUACAAUAAUGUGUGUACUGGGUCUAAGAACAUGUGAUGCCACUAUUUUGUUAUCAGAAAACAUAAUCUGAACUAACAGAAAAUAUUAAAUAUGCAUUACAACUUUUCUGCUCAUAAUAUUUUUCGACCUCAGGGCUUAUAGAUUUCCCUCCCAACUUUUCUCCCAAACAAUUAUUAUCUUAUCAUGCUCAUCCUAAUUUUUUCUUGCAAGUCUUUUGACUCAAAAUCCUCGACAAAACCCAUGCAUGGCCCACCAUCAACUUUUCUUUCGAGCCAUCCUGUAAAUUAUAGUAAUAUGAUGCAUGUGCCAUGCACGUGUUUGGAUGAACAGGAAUCCUGUAAAGAGAGUUUCGAUUUUGAUCCUGGCAUUGAGGUGCGACAGGCACAGAGACAUGCAGCACCUUCGAGUACCAGCACUAGAAUAAUUUCUCAUGCGACGUCCUAGUGCUUGAAAUCUCGAAAGAAACAACAUAAAGGACAUUUUAGAAAAUAAGAAAUGGAGCUAUAUGAACUGGAGCUUCAUAGAUGGAGUACUCUGGAGUUUCAAUUUAACGGUAGAAUAGAUGAGAGUACAGGAAAGUGCUACUGAUGUUAUGAGCUGACAAAAGAAUUUCAAUUUUCAAGUAAUUAUUCUCCAAGCAUAGGGUAGAAGCUAGACUAACAUUACGUGAAAGAAACGAAUGUCAGUGAUAAUAACAUUCCAAGCAGGGCUACAAUAAUUAAAGGGCUAUAAAAAGUAGUUGUUCAACAAAGCCAUGUUCUUCAUGAGUUCCAAUAUUAUAGCAUACAUCACAGAGCAAGGUAGUCAGAAUCUUAAAAACUUCAUUUCCAGAGAUAAGGGCCAAUAUGAGAAGUUUAAGGGAAUUUGUUUGGUUUACUUACUAUAAUGUGAUAUGGUGAUCUCAGGUGUUUAUUCAAAAUCAGUAGAGCUUUAUGCUAGUAAAGUAAUUAAACACGUAAAUAUUAGCCUCUCUUUCUAGCCUCUAUAUGAGCUGACAACAUAUAUUACCACUUAAGAAAAAAAAUAGUCUAUUCAAACUGUGGAUGGUUGGUGCUGAUUUGGCCCUCAAAUUGGAGAAAUUAUAUCCUACACCACGUGCACCACAUGGCGGCGCACCACGCCAAUCACCUCAUCUCGUUCCUGUGGCCCCACUCAUCAUGUGCUCGUCUCAGAUUGCUGCCCCCCACCUCGUCUCAGAUUGUUCCUGUGGUGCACCGCGGGCGUGGUGCAUGUGGUGUACGGUAUAAUAUCUCCUCAAUUUGAGCCACUUGAAUGACCGCAAAGGUAUUGAUCGAACUUUCAGCUACAGAAUUUGGGAAAAAUGUAGGUUAUGUCAAAAAUUACAUAAAAGAGUGUGAAGACUUAAGUUGUUUUGAUGUUACCUUUUGAUAGAUCUCCUCCUGCAAAUCAGAAACACCCGCAUGUCCUGUCUGAGCUGUUGAAUCCACUGAUGCUGCAAAAGAAAAGAGAAUUCCUAAAUCAAGAGGGAUUAAACUGAAAAUGGAAAUUUGGCUUAUAACUCAAUCAUUUGGCAAGAACAUUUUCAAUUUUCAAGUGGUGGGAUUGAAUCAACAUAGACAAAUGAAGAAAUUAUUUACAUGAACCAAAAUUUCCUAAGGCUUUUCAAAUUAGCAUGAUAUUUUGUCAUGUAUAAGGAACAAUGGAGGAACUAUAAGCAUUACUAUACAAUUACUUACAAAUGAAGAACCCAUAACCUUCAGUCCUUGUGAAAUACUUAAAGUAAGCCUGUCACUUUAUCAGAUCACGGAUAUGCUAGCCUUUUCCAAUCAUUACACAAUUUUGUGGACAGUUUGUUCAGCAUGGCAUAAGUAUUGUCAGAGAUUCUUUAAAAUCAUGAAUUAUUUUUAGAGAAAAUGUAUCUCAUCAAGGAACAAGACAUGAUUGAAGAACAAGAGAUUUAAAGAAAAUGACACACAUAAAAUGCGCAAUCCUGCAUAAUUGAAUAGAACUAGCAGGCAUGUGUCAGGAAAUAUGAUUUCUGCAGUGUAAUUAAUAACCAGACAUGCAUCAUUCCCAAUCCUCGAGGAUCAUCGAUUAUGUUGGCUGGCAAUUAUAGGCAGUGUCGUAAAUUGCAGAUGAAUAAGAAAUAAGAAAUAAUUCAUCAAUGAGGCCCCUAAUUUUAUGACCUUUUGCAGCAUGAAUGAAGAGCAACCAACCAUACAGCAUAGUUGUUGGCACUAACAAACUUAAAGCCUAAGGGAGAAAGACAGUAAUGAUACAAAUGCAGUUACAGUCAGGAGCAAACCAAACACCAGACAGCAACAAGGUUAAAAAGGCUAAAAGUCAAACAGUGGACCCACGACAAACAGACAAACAGCUGGAGUAGGUAAAAAAUACAAGGUAGUGAAAAAGGAGAGGAAGGGAAGACAAGCUACCAGCUCGAUGAGGCUUCAGGAAAAUAUGGAAGUCCCGAGUUAGCUGCUGCUGAAGCGAAGGUGUUUGUUGAUGAAUAGAAGGCUGUACAUGUUGUUGCUGUCUUGCAACUGAUUGUGGAUGUUGCUGAAGCAAAGAUGGUACUGAUUGCUGGAUUGAAUUCAGUUGAUUCUGUUGAAGGCCAGGUUGCGCAGCUGACUGCAUCGUUGUAGGCUGUGGCUGCUGAAUAGUGGACUGACCUGACUGAAGACCUGAUGACAUUUGCAUCAGAGACUGUUGAGAAGAUUGCAGUUGGGUUGGCUGCAACAGAGAUUGUUGCAGCUGCUGCUGUUGCAAAUGCGGUUGCAAGAGUGAAGGAUGCUGCAACUUCCGUUUUAGUAACCGUUGUUGAAACUGCUGGUGGUAAAUAAGCUGAUUCUGAAAUUGCUGCUUCUGUUGAGAAAUCAUUUGUUGCUGGUGUUGCCUUCCCGGCAUUUGUCUUUGCGCAUUGGCAUAAAUAUCUGGUGCUGCACCUUGCCCUACAGAAUUACUUACAGAGUUCUGUGAUACUCCAGGCAUGUUCUGCAGGUUGGAUGUCUGGCCGACACUGGAUAUGUUGGACUGACUGAGAACUGUGAUAGAUGAUAUAGCAGGAGGUAGGUUUGCAGAAUUUUGUACAGAAGUUGACGUGUUAUUUUGAAGGUUUUGUGGUAAAAGUGGUUGCCUCGCUGCAGGCGGCUUAACCACAGGAAUUGCUAAUGGU
rnacentral:lncRNA from 1 species